AACCCAUUCCUAUCCCGCCCUAUCGUAUGGCCCCACCUGAAUUGAAAGAGUUGAAGGAACAGUUUCAAGACUUUCUCGAGAAGGGUUUCAUUAGACCCAGCGUUUCUCCUUGUGGUGCGGCGGUGUUGUUUGUUAAAAAGAAUGAUGGGUCAAUAAGAAUGUGUAUUGAUUACCGGCAAUUGAACAUGGUGACAACAAGGAAUAAAUAUUCCCUGCCAAGGAUUGAUGAUUUGUUCGAUAAGCUUCAGGGUGCCAAUGUAUUUUCCAAGAUUGACUUGAGAUCUGGCUAUCAUAAGUUGAGGAUUAGGGCUUUUCGAUGUCCCCAAGACAACUUUUCGCACUAGGUACGAGCAUUAUGAGUUCUUGGUUAUGUCAUUCAGGUUGACAAAUGCCCCAGCAGCUUUUAUGGACUGAUGAACCAAGUCAGGACUUAUUUGGAUUCAUUCAUGAUAGUCUUCAUUGAUGACAUAUUGAUAUAAUCCUGCAGCCAAGAGAAGAACGAACAUCACCUUAAAGUGGUUCUUCAGAUUCUGAGGAUAGCUGAUUAUAUGCUAAAUUUUUGAAGUGUGAGUUCUGGUUGAGUUCAGUUGCAUUCUUGGGUCAAGUUGUAUCAGCAGAGGGUAUUCAGGUCGAUCCGAAGAAGAUUAAGGCAGACAAGAACUAGCUUAGACCAGUAUCAGCUAUAGAGAUUCGGAGUUUUUUGGGAUUGGCAGGUCAUUAUCGACAGUUUCUGGAGGGGUUCUUAUGUAUCGCAGCCCCGAUGACCAGGUUAACCCAGAAGGGUGCCCAGUUCAGAUGUUCAGACGAGUGUGAGGCGAGCUUUUAGAAACUCAAGACAGCUCUGACUACAGCAGCGGUACUGUUUUUGCCUACAGGUUCAGGAGCUUAUACAGUUUAUAGUGAUGAUUCCCGUACUGGGCUUGGUGCAGUGUUGAUGCAAGAUGGCAAGGUUAUUGCCUAUGCUUCGAGGCAGUUGAAGAUUCAUGAGAAGAACUAUCCAGUUCAUGACUUAAAGUUGGAGCCAUUAUUCUCGCGUUUAAGAUUUGGAGGCAUUAUCUAUAUGGCGUAGCAUGUGAGAUUUUCAGUGAUUGCAAUAGUCUUCAGUAUCUGUUCAAGAAGAAGAAGUUGUGAGGUAGAGAAGGUGGUCUGAGAUAUUGAAGGAUUAUGAUAUCACCAUUUUAUAGCAUUCGGAAAAGGCCAAUAGGGUGGCCGAAUGCUUUGAGUAGGAAGUCAGCACAUUUCAUUCUUAUGGCAGUCUCCUAUUCUUCUGAGAGGUUAGCUGAGAUCUACAUUCGGAGAUUGUUCGCCUUCAUUAUCUGCUCGUAUCAAUCAUUUCGGACCGUGGUACGCAGUUUACCUCGCACUUCUGGAGGGCAUUUCAGCGAGAGUUAGACACACGGGUUGAGUUGAGCACCACAUUUCAUCCCCAUGUAGAUGGUCAGUCCGAGCGGACUAUUCGGAUCUUAGAGGAUAUGCUCUGAGCAUAUAUUAUUGACUUUGGAGCUUAUGUUACAUACAACAACAUCUACCAGUCAAGAAUCCAGAUGGUUCCUUAUGAGGCUUUGUAUGGUAGGCAGUGUCUGUCUCCGGUUGGAUGGUUUGAGCCGAUAGAGGCUCGGCUGUAGGGUACGGAUCAGUUUUAUGGGGCCUUGGACAAGGUCAGUAUCAUUCAGGAUAGGCUUCGUUCAGCUUAAUCCAGGUGAAAGAGUUAUGCAGACCGUAAGGUUCGAGGUGUAGCUUUUAUGAUUGGUGAGUAGGUACUACUCCGAGUGUCACCUACGAAGGAUGUGAUGAGAUUCGGGAAGAAGAGCAAGCAUAAUCCUAGGUUCAUUGGUCCGUUUGAGAUUCUUGAGCGAGUGGGAGAGGUGGCUUAUAGACUUGUUUUGUCGCCGAGCUUAUCAGCCGCGCAUCCAGUAUUUCAUGUAUCUAUGCUUCAAAGGUAUCACGACGAUCCAUCACUCAUGUUAGAUUUCAGCACUGUCCAGCUGGGCAAGAACUUGUCUUAUGAGGAGGAGCCAGUAUCUAUUCUAUACUGGCAGGUUCGUCAGUUAAGAUCCAAGAGUUUCCCUUCUUUUUGUGUUCUGUGGAGAGGUCAGCCUCCUAAGGCGUAGACCUCGGAGUCCGAGUCCAAUAUGCAGAGCGAUUAUCCUCAUCUUUUCUCGACUCAGUUACUUCUUUCUUCUGUCCAUUCGAGGACAAACGGUUAUUUUAGAGGUGGAUAAUGUGAAAACCCAAAGAGUCAUUACCUGUUUUUAAUUAAUUCUGUGCUUUCAAGGCCUUGAAAACCUCCUUUAGGGUCACUUAGAUUUGUGUGCAUUGUCCAGGCACGUAGCCGGAAAGCUUAAAUAUGAAAUUAUGUGAAAAAUGCUAAGUUUUGAAAUUAAAAUAAAUAAAUUUGACUUUGUUCAACAUUUUGAGUAAACGGACCCGGACCUCUAAUUUGAUGGUCCUGGAGGAUCUGUAGGAAUAUAUGGGACUCGGGCGUAUGCCCGGAAUCGAAUUCCAAGGUCCUAAGCCCGAGAAAUGAAUUUUUAAAAGAAAUUGUAUUUCUGAAAUUGUUAAGAAAAAAUUAAAAUGAUAUUUGAUUGGAACGUGCUGGUAUCAGGCCCGUAUUUUUUGUUACAGCGCCCGAUACAUGUCUUAAAUGUGAAUUAAGAUAUUUCUGUAAAGUUUGGAUAAAAUAGAUGUCGUUUGACGUAUUUCGGACUUAAAGUUGUAAAUUUGAAACUUAAUGAAGUUUGAGGAAAAAACUCUUGAUUUUGAUGUUUGAUUCAUUGUUUUUAUGUUAUUUUGGAAAUUUGAUCGCAUGGAUAACUUCGUAUGAUGUUGUUGAGUUAGUUCGUGUAUUUGGUUAGGAGCCUCGAGGGCUCGGGUGUGAUUCGGAUAUGUUUCGGGGUUGUUUUAGCCUUAGAAAAAAAUUGCAAAACUGUUGUCUGUUGUUGUCCAGUUCUUUGUGCUAUGCGAUCGCAUAGCCAUGUCCGCGAUCGCAUAGUGUAAAGUUUCAGGGGUCCAAUUUGUUCUAUGUGAUCGCAUAGAUCCUCCUGAUCGCAUCGUGUCAGCUUGAGAAGCCCUGUACUUUCCUCUAUGCGAUCGCAUAGUCCUGUUCGCAAUCGCAGUGCUCCUUUCAUGAUCUCGAUGAUCAUUUUCCCCUUCCUCUAUGCAAUUGCAUUGCAUUCUUCGCAAUCACAUAGACCAUUUUUCGCCCAAUUAAAUUUUAAAAUCCCAGAACAGUGUCAUUACGGGAUUCACCAAAAAUUCACAAAACCUCUUCUUCUCCAAAGCUCUUAGGCGCUUUUUGAAGCAGUCCUUCACCAUAAUCUCUUGGAUAUGUAAUCUUUAACUUAUUUUCUUUCAUUUUCAUCAACAUCUAAUGAAUUUCUAGGCCUAAAACAUAUUAUUAAGGGUAGAAAAUUAGGGACUUUUUGAUUAAUGGUGAUUUAAAUGUCAUUUUGGGGUCGAAUUCUGAAAAUAAUUAUAAAUUUGGGCUCGUGGGUGAAUGGGGGAUUUUAUUUUGGUUCGAACCUCGUUUUUUUACCAAGCGGGCCUAGGGAUGAUUUUUGAAAUUUUGGGAAGAAUAUUGGAAAGCUAUAAUUAGGCAUUGAAUUCGAAUUAUUUCGUAUUUAUUGAUGUUAUGAAGUCAUUUAUGUGUAGAGACAAUUGAUUUGGAGCCAAAUUCGAACGGAAAGGCGGUUGUUGAGGAUUGAGUUGGCCGUGGAAGUUCGAGGUAAGCGUUUGGUGUAACUUUAUCUUGAGGGAUUAGGAGUUGAGUCCUAACUUCUAUGUGGUAAUUAUUGAGUACAACGUAUAGGAAUGGUGACGAGUGUCUAUACGUUGGUGUCAAGCAUGACCAUGGUUCUUAUAUUGUGAAUUUUAUGCUUCAUUGUAUUAUUCAUGCCUUGGUGAAGUUUUCUAUUUGUUGUGUAAAGUAGUGAAAAGAAUUGUGACCUAUGAACAUUGAGGAGCGUCGGCUCCAGUUGUAUAAUGAAUUGUGAAAAUAUAAGUGAUAAAUGAACUCUAGAGUAUUGGCUCAAGUUGUGAAGUGAAUUGUGAAGUAAAAGUGAGAAAGAGAAGAGAUCAUUAUGUUGCCCCCUUGCUGCUCUAUCGUUGAGUUGUGGUUCCCUUAUAUUGUGUUCUUAGUUGAUAUUACAGAUGCUUAGGUUGAUGAUUUCUUGUGUUAGGUAUUAUAAUAAGUUUAGUUAUUGCUAAAGUAGUUAGAUGUUGAUAUGAGAUUGGUUAUAGCCGAAGUAGUUAGGUGUUGUAACAAGUUUAAUUAUUGUCAAGGUAGUUAGGUAUUGGAACAAGUUUGAUUAUAGUUGAGGUAUUUAGAUGUUGGAACGAGUUUGGUUAUUACUGUUACUCCAUUUCUAGGAUAGUGUAGGCCUUCUUGAUCCAUUGUCGGGACUCUUGUUAUAAUUGUAAAUAUUUUAUAUGGAUCAGGUUGCUUCCGCAACAAUAUUAUAUAUGGAUUGGGUUGCACGCUACAACAAUACUAUAUAAAUGGAUCAGGUUGCACGCUAUAAUAAUAUUAUAUAUAUUGAUCAGGUUGCAUGCCGCAACAAUAUUAUAUUUGGAUCGGGUUGCAUGCCGCAACAGUAUUAUAUGGAUUGGGUUGCACGCCACAACAAUAUUAUAUAUGGAUCGGGUUGCACGCCACAACAAUAUUAUCUAUAUGGAUCGGGUUGUACGCUGCAACAAUAUUAUAUAUAUGAACCGAAUUGCACGCCGCAACAAUAUUAUAAAUGGGAGCGGGUGGUACGCCUUCCACGAGAUAUAAUGAAAUGGGAGCAGGUGGUAUGCCUACUAGGAGAUAUGAGAAAUGGGAUCGCGUUGUACGCCUGCAACAAGAUGAAGUUGAAAGUGGGAAUUGCCUUUAUUUCUCUUUGUCCAUGUUAGAAGUUAAAUGAUAGUUUCCUGAUUGUUCUUUGAUAUUCUGUUUAUCUGCCACCCUCGUAGCAUGUUUCCCUUUUCCAAUUUUAAUUGCUUAUUACCUGUUUACUUUUCCGUCGUAUAUUAUGUAACUGCACAAAUUUAUCUGGAGUCUGGUUCUAGCCUCAUCACUACCUCACAAGGGUUAGGCCAGACACUUACCAGCACAUGAAUUCGGUUGUUAUAAUACUACACUCUGUGCUUUUUUUGUACAGAUCUAGGUACCGGACCACUACAGUAGUUCUAGAGCCAACCUUCAUUCCACUGAGACCCCGAGGUAGCCUUGCAGACGUUCGCAGACCCCGCGUCUUCUUAAUCUUAUUUUAUAUCCUAUUUUCUCAUGUAUUCGAGACAAAUAGUGUUUAUUUCUUUCGAACAGUCGUAUGUAGCACUCUUAGUAGUCCGUGAAUGUUGUGACACUAGGUUCUGGUUAGAGGCAUGUAUUGGUCUUUAGGAUAUUUUAUUUUAUAUUUAUUUCAGACUUCCGCUAAAUUUCAUAUUACGCUGUUACUUAAUUAUUUAUUCCCUGUUAAUUUAAUUGGUUAAAAGUGAAUUAAUACAGAAGAGGCUAAUGGUUUCAAGGUUCAUGGCUUGCCUAGAUUUCACGAGUAGGCGCAAUCACGACCCCCAAAGGUGAGAAAUCCGGGUUGUGACAACUACAUCAUCAAAUUCACAAAGAAAGAAAACAUGGAUAAAGCUAUUCACCUAGGGCUAUGGUUCAUUAAUAGCCAUUUCCUCUCUAUCUCUAAAUGCAAACCAAAUUUUGUGGCCCGAAAUGAUAGAUUUACUACCUCAGCAGUUUGGGUAAGGCUUCCCCAAUUACCAACGGAAUUCUAUGAUGGUAAAAUCCUAGCAAAAAUUGGCAAUGCAAUAGGACGCCUACUGAAAAUUGACACGUGCACCUCAACAAACCUUAGAGGUCGAUAUGCAAGAAUUUGUGUUGAAAUCCCUUUGGAAGUCCAUGUUCAACCCUUCCUAUUUGUUAGAAAUCAUAAACAAGAUAUUUAUACUCUAUGAAGGGGAGGAUUUUCUUUGCAAAAAUUGUGGUCGCUUUGGUCGCACACUAAGACAACACCUAUAUCAAAAUUCAAAGCUUGGAUCCUCACCAUGCAGGACAAGAACCUCAAAAAGAAGCUACAAAAGAUGCCAUGGACUCUAAAUGAAAAACAGUUUCCUUCAACAAGAAGAAGAAUCACGGCAAACAAAAUCCAAACCACCUGCCGAACAUCCAAGCAAGAGGCAACCAAGGUCCAGGUAUUCCGGUUAACUUAUUCAAUGCAAAAACAGGUAAGUUUUUGGUUACUCAAACUCUCCAAUAUAAGAGUAAAAAUUAUCCUUCUAGUAAUCAAAUUCCUCCGAAUAAUACCCAUCUAGACACGGCUACUUCUCAAACAAACUCUCACGAGAAAAACCACCAAUUAGACAAUAGACAAAUGAUUUUGCUAAAAAACACUAAGGAUAUUGUCAAUUUUUUUUGUGAUAAUAAUUUUAAUAAAUUAAAUAAUGGGUUGGAUUGACAUAAAAGAUAUGUGCAUGCAAGACUCCACCGUUGCACCUUAUAAUAUCAACUCUAUAGUUAAAGCAAUUGCCAUGCAAAUAGGCUCUAGCAUGGACGAUUCUACCCCUACCUUUAAUCCUAUCCCUACUUCCCCAAACCCUCCCCCCCAUUCGAAAUCUCCCCAAAAUCUUUUGUUAUCUAAAGAAUCUACCCAAAAUCCCUCCUUAAAAUAUGAUAAGAUCCCCCCUUCAUGCAAAUUGACCAAAUGGCAAUGGUUAUACAAGAAAGUAGCUAAAUGGACCUUCCCAUAGGAAAUCCAAACAAAACCAUCAAGUAUUCUAUAAAUCAUGACCUAGGGAAACCAAAAUCCAUAAACCAAAAUGAAGCAAUCAUCAUUCCUUUCCCCAAUCGAUUAAAGCCUUCUCCUACCCAAAAUCCCAUGCCAACAUCUAGUGUAAUAAAUACAACUCCCUUUAUUCAAGAUGUCAAGAGUUCCUUCAACCCUAAGAAGAAGAACUCAACUAAUUCAAAUCCUAAGAAAACGAUAUCCUCUCAAUAUGGAAAACAUUCCUCCCUCCUUCCUCACAAAAAACCCUAGAUUAUUUACACUCAACCACCCCAAGCCGAAGAUUAUCAACCCAUGAGUUGGAUGAAGCUAGGUCUCAUGGGCUAUGCACUCUCGUUCAUAGUCUCGAUCAUCGGUCAAGAGGCCAUUGUGAUAUUGCACAAUACGCAAUAUCUAGCUCAACUUAUAACGGAGGGAAUGAGAUUGGAAAUGAACAAUUAUCUCAGCCAAGUAUGGCUCAACAACAUCAUUCAUCCCAUGGAUCCAUCAAUGAACCCUCAAAUGGCUCAAACGAUGGGAGAGAAAUGGAGCAUGCCACCCCAGUUCAACCUCAUAAACACUCAAAAUGCACAUUGGAUCUCCCCUUCUUUCCAACGGAGAUGUAUACCCACCUAAACCCCAUCUUUCUCCCAUGGGAUGUCAAUCUGGGGAACCAGAUGAUGGAACCCCCACCACCACCACCACCCCCACCCCCAUCACCAAGACAAACCUAUACCAAUGGAGGCAGAGAUGGAGGAGGACGAUGUUCCCCUCAACCUUCACUUAGGGUCAACCCUAGAACUCUCAAGCAUAGAGAGAAUAAAAAAUUUUCUCUUCACGGAAAGGCACGAGAAGAGGGCAUGUUCUCAGCUUUCCAUUGUCCUAUUCAAAUGCUUGAUGGAUAUUCGUCCUCCACACGACCCAACAAUGGGAAACAAAGUAAUGAUUCUAGUUCCAUCCAUAAGGAGAAAACCUGUCCAAGCCAUGAUAAGGGAAAAUGGGGAGAUGAUCAACACUGACUCAUAUUUAGCCAUGAAUCAACACACUAAUUUCAUAGUAUGAAAUAUCCAGGGAGAAAACAAUGAUAAUUUUAGGAGAAAUUUUAGGGAGAUGCUAGACACUCACAGGUCAUGUUUGGUAACUUUGUUGGAAACAAGGAUGGGCAAUCAUGCAGUCAUGCUUAACGAAUUUGGAUUCACUGAAAUGAUAGAAGUUCCAUCGAAGGGGCAGUCAGGUGGUAUGGUUAUGAUGUGGAGGGAUGACAUAAUCAACGUUCAAAAUGUUGUUAGAAGAGGUUAGGAGAUCCAUGUAACCAUGGAAGUACAACCUAUACGCAAACCUUGGCUUUUUACCUCUAUCUAUGCUAGUACUGAUAUUUAUUAUAGAAAUAUCAUAAGGGACCACCUAGAAAAUAUUAGUAAUACUUAUAAAGGACAUUGGUUAGUAGGUGGUGACUUUAAUGACAUUUUAGCCGCUAGUGAGAAAUUUGACGGUAAACCCAUCAAAUAUAGUAGAGCCAGGUACAUUGGGUCCAAAAUUAAUAAGUGCAAUCUAGUUGAUCUAGGCUUCAAAGGAAGCAAAUACACUUGGACCAUUAAUAGACAUAAUAAAAAGAGUCUUAUAUUUGAAAGACUUGAUAAAGUUUACGGAAAUGAGGAAUGGAUUGAACUAUUUCCUAAAAGCUCUAUUAUCUAUUUCCCUAGAACUCACUCUGACCAUAAUCCUAUCCUUGUACAAUUAAUUCUAAGGAAUAAGUCUCCUCAUAAGGUCCCUUUUAGGUUAGAAACCUUUUGGUGCAAACACCCAAAAUUUCAAUCCAUUAUAAAUAUAAUUGGAAUGAUAGUGACUACUUUAGAUCUAGCUUCAACUUUAUUGACAAGGUUAAAUCUUGGAAGGACAACACCUUUGGCUGUAUCAUUAGAAAGAAGAGAAAACUCUUAGCUAGACUCUAAGGCAUCCAAUCUUCAAAUAGCUAUGCUACUAGCUCUUUUCUUAAAAAAUUAGAAUUAGAUCUUCAACAUGUGUUCAAUGAUAUUCAAAAAAGAGAAGAGGAUGAAAACUGAAAUCCAGAAUAAUGUGGCUUAAUGAUGGAGACAUCAAUACAAAAUUCUUACACAUCUCUACCACUAAUAGAAAAAGAAGAAACAAAAUUACUUUCUUCAAACAUAAAGCUGGUAAUUGGAUAAAUGAUCAUAAUCUUAUCUUAUCUCAUGUCCAAAAUUACUUUAUCUCUGCAUUUACCUCUUCUCAUACUAACUCUUCCUGGACUAACUCCCUAAAUACUCAAUCCAGUUGCAAUAGGAUUAACCUAGAUUAUAUAGACACCCCCCUCCUUGAUAAGGAGAUUAAAAUUGCAGUCUUCUCAUUCAAACCAUUCAAUUCUCCCGGGCUAGAUGGAUUACGCCCAUUCUUCUUCCAAAAAUAUUGGUUCCAUAUAGGGGAUUCUUCCAAGAAACUCUGUCGUGCUAUCUUGAACAACUAGAUAGUCCCUCCGGAUAUUAAUAAAGCAUUUCUACGCCUCAUUCCUAAAAUCCAUAAUGCUAAUAACAUUAAAAACUUCAGACCAAUUGGCUUAUGCAACACUAUCUAAAAUAUAAUCACCAAGAUUCUAGCCAAUCGUCUUAAACCUUUCCUAGAUCAACUGAUCAGCCCAUAUCAGACUAGCUCUAUGAAAAAUAGAAGAGCAUCUGAUAAUAUUAUCAUCAUCCAGGAAAUGAUUUCAAAGUUCAAUAAACUAAAGGGCAAGCAAAGGCCAUAUGAUUCUGAAAAUUGGCUUGGAAAAGGCUUUUGAUCGUCUUGAAUGGUCUUUAUUCGUCACACCGUGGAUAUUUUUAACUUUCCUCCAAAAUUCUCUAAAUUAUUGUUGAAUUGCAUUUCUACCAGUAAAAUAGCAAUCUUAGUCAACGGAGCUAUUACGAAUUACUUUCAACCAAGUAGAGGCAUUAGACAAGGCGACCUCAUCUCCCCCUACAUUUUUAUCCUCUGCCUAGGAAUGCUUACCGGAUACAUAGAACACCAAGUGGACAUAAAAAAUUGGGACCCCAUAGCCCUAGGUUAUAAAUGUCUAAAAACUUUCCACUUAUUAUUUGUUGACGACCUUCCUCUAAUGGCUAGAGCCAAUGCUAAAUCUUGUCAGGACAUAAAAAAUGGGCUUGUCCAAUUUUGCUCUCUAUCAGGUCAAAGCAUCAACACUAUUAAAUCAAAGAUCCGUUUUUCAGAAAAUUGCAACCACUCAAUGACCAGUGACAUUACCACUUCAUUAGGUAUUAAGAGGAGUAACAAUUUUGGCAUAUACCUUGGUUUCCCUAUCCUCCACUAUAGCCCAAAACCUAGGGAUUACCAAUUCCUUAUUGAUAAGAUGAGAACCAAACUUGCAUCCUGGAAAAUAAAAUUCUUUAGCUUGGCAGGAAGAACAACACUAGUGACAUCAUGCCUUAAUUCCAUCCCAAACCAUUACAUGUAAUACACCCUCCUUCCUAGAAAAAAACCCUAAAAGAGAUUGAUAAAGUCCAAAGGGACUUCAUCUAGGGUAGUACUGUAGAGAACAUAAAACUUCACUUGGUAAAUUGGACAAUUAUAUGCCAACCCAAAAAAUAUUAUGGAUUAGAGAUCCAUAAUGCCCCAAAUAAAAAUCUUUCUGUUCUGGCUAGUUUAAGUUGGAGACUCCUUACAAAUGUUCUAGCUCUUUCGCAAAGCUUAUCAUCUCCUUGCAAUAGCUCCUUUGCAAAUAGAUCCUCCUUCCUUUUGAAAAGCAUCUUCAGAAGGUGGGACAUCUGCUCCAAGGGCAUCAUAUGGUUCCCCCACAUCCAUUCCAACCUUCAUGUAUGGGAAGCCAAUUGGAUUCCAAAUAUUGGUAAUCUAUGAGACCUAGUUACAGGACCUCCCUCAGCUAAAUACUUCUCCACCAAAAUUAGAGAUAUCUUUGAUGGUACCAAUUGGAACUUAAACUGUUUAACCUUCUCUCCCCCUCAAAAUUUGUUAGCUACCAUCUCCAAAACAAAAAUCCGCCAAAAGGGCCCGGCAUUUGACUUACCUAUUUGGUCUCUCACAACUAAGGGAAUCUUUACUACCACCUCUUGCUAUAUACAGCUAGAUAUUCCUACUAAUACCAACUCCGAUUUGAGUGGAUUUGGAAAUUGAAUUGCCCCAAUAAAAUCAGGUUUUUCCGAUCGCAAUGCUUUCAUAAUCGAAUCCCUUGCAGAAAGUACAUUUCACAUAUUGGACUAAAUAUUGAUUGAAACUGUCCAAUCUGUAGAAAUCCUAUUGAAGAGUCAAUAGAACAUAUCUCCCUUAACUGUAAAGUUGUUAGUAACCUCUGGAGCAAGCUUCAAACGAACAAUCUUGUUAAUACAAAUGCGAAACACUAGCUUCUACAAAUAAGGGACUUCAAUUCUCCUAUCAAACAUGACCUUAUAAACUGGAACAAUUUCUUUCCUUUCAUCAUUUGGUAUAUCAGGAUUAAUAGAAAUAUCAACAACAUUAAUAGCACUGCCAACCAAACUACAGGAUCCCAAAUCUUGCAAAGGGAGGUGAAAUUUAAACUGUUCACGGAAAGAAACUCUAUUAAUCCUCCCUAAUGUCUUAUAAAACUCAACUGGUUCAAACCCCCUAGAGGGUGGUAUAAACUGAAUGUGGAUGCCAGUUUUUAUAACAAUAACUAACGUUGUGGUUUAGGUGGUAUUUUUAGAAAUGCAACAGGCAGUUGGGUGGUUGGUUUUUCUAAACUAUCACAUGCAAAUGGCUUACUAGCAGCUAAACUAAAAGCUCUAAGAGAAGGUCUAAGAACGGCAAAAGAGUGGAAUCUCUUCCCACUUGAGAAUGAGACGGAUUGCUCAAAGGUUAUCCAAGCAAUACAAGACGGUAAUAAAUUACUUAAUAAAUUUAUCAAUGAUUGCAGGGCCUAAAUGCACCAGCAGAGGGUUACUCUCUAACACACUUUCAGGCAGGGGAAUAGGACUGCCCAUUGGCUAGCAAAAAGAGUUCUAAAAAGGGACAACCAAGCUCUUGGAGUGGCAGAAAGAAGUAAAGCAGUAAAGAGCAGUAAAAAGUUUUUCUUGUACCACCUUUUGAUGUAAUAGAUUUUGUAGAAAGUGAUAGACUUGAAUCUACCUCCAAUGAAAAUCUUCUACGUAAUGAAGCUUGUAACCUACUAGAAAGCUUAGGAAACUAAUGCAUUAAGCAUGAUGCAAGUUAUAUCGACUAUGUACUAGAUGUUACUUAGUUAUUAAUAUAUAUAUUUUUUGUUUGCUAAAAAAAAAAGAUCUUCUAGUAUCUCUUGAUUUCUCUCAACAAGUAAAAAUAGUGUAGUUAAAUCUAUUCCUCUGGCCUGUUCAACAAUGUCAAGAUCUUACAUUUUUUUACUCUUCUUGUUUGGAUCCUCUAAAAGGCUAGAAUAACAUAUCAAAUUGAUUUUAUAUAUGAUUACUCAACUUUAAUUUUGUUACACUAAAACUAUAACAAAAAUUCUACCGAGGAAAAAUUACUCGACUUUAUCUAAGAUAAAUAAUUAUGUAGCUUACCGCCCUUUAAGCUGACUAUUGUCAUGGAAAAAGAGUUUGUUUUCUAUCAAAAAAGUAUGCUUAACACUGCAUGUAUAUACGACUGUAAAGAAAAACAAAGAAUUUGUACUCCCAAUACAUGUUGCAUGUGUAUAGUCUCAUAAAAUGAAAAUCUCUAUGUCUAAUUUGAAUUGAUCUCAAUGGAUACCUCGUAAUUGCCUAGAAGAGAAGAAUAGGCAGGGAUGAUAAGAUUUGAACCCCUGACAUUUUUUACUCAAGAAAAAGGCGCUAUCAAUCUGUGCUAUAUCCCUUUCAAUUGGUCUACAAUAAUAUUAUUCUAUAACAAAAAGAUCACUCAAUCUGCCUAGAUACCAUAUAAAUAAGAAAUAACAACAAUAACAUCAAUCACAAACUCAAUGAAUUUCCAUAAGUGAAAUGUGAGAAAGAUAGUUUAUACGUGAACCUUUGCCCUAUUGUGAAGGACAAAGAAUUUAUUUUCAAUAAACUCUCGACUAAAAACAAGAAAAGAAGGAAUAAUAACAAAAUACAUUUUUUCGCAAUUAUUUUAUGCGAAUAAUUUCUGACAAACUAUAGUAAGUGCUUAUAUAUUUCUACAAACUAUACCAAUCUCUUUCUCUCAGCUUCGCACUCUCUACUCACCAUUAACGGUCAUCUUCCUCCUCAUCUCCCUUGCGCUACCAUCGACAGUCAUCGAAAUUACAAUCAAGUGUCUUUCAGAAUAUCUUUUUAUUUUUUCGGGAUAAAGGUAAUAUUUGCAUAUACAUUAUUUUUUCAGACCCCACUAAUAGGAUUUAGUAAAUUGUUAUUGUUGUUGUUACUAAGUACUUAUUUAUUAUAAGAACACUUCAAUAGAAGUCCGAUUCUAGAGAACAUUUAUUCUAUCUGUUGAAAUUAUACAUUUAUUCGUUUAACAGAAACUACAUAUAGUAAAAUUACUACAGAUAUUCGACAUGAAGCAGAAACUUAAACCACAGCAACACACACCUACAAUAUUACCCUAUUUUCAGCUGCUUCAAACGAUUUUUCUAAGCAAUGCCCAAACGUUGUUUCAUCUGCAGAGCGAAGUCGUAAACCUUGUCUGAUUCAGCAAGAGAUUUGGCUACACUCUCUUUUUGCACACAUCUCUUGGCCCAUGCCACCAAUUUUGGACACUUUGCCUCUAUGUUAAAAUUUCCACAUUUUUCAUAAGUAGGGAACCAACUAUAAAAAGGAACUAAUGCGACAUCCAAAAAUCCAAAGCUUUCCCCACCAAAGUAUGGCUUCUCUCCCAACUCUCCUUCUAACAAUUUUAGGCACUCUAUGAAUUCUUUCUUGGCUGCUUCUUGCUCCUCCCCUUUUGUAGUCCAUAUUCUCCUUCCACUAUCAUAUAGCUGCAUUUACCCCAAAAAAAAGAAAAUCAUUGUCACAACAUCAUAGUUAAAUUUCUAGAAAUUUAACCUUUAAAUAGGUGUAUUUGAAGUUGAAGUUGAAAAAAAUUAUAUAUAUAUAUAUAUAUAUAUAUAUAUAUAUAUAUAUAUACGUUAUAUACAAAAGUAUACUACAUUUUUUCCUCAGAAGUAAUUCAGGUUAAGGAACCAAAUAAUUUCAUAUUAUUAUUAUUAAUGUGUGGUGUAUAUUAUAACUAACAUCAUAAUGCAUUAAGAUGAUUUUUCAAAAGUUGAGAAAGUAAGUUAGUUUCUCUAACAUGAGGGGGAGACAUGAUUAAUAGUUGAGAAAAUAUUACGUGGAAUGAAUUAUCACUUCUACAUCUAGAUCCUAGAAUAAGAUAAUAUGAACUUGAAGUUCAUAAAAGAUAAUAAGCAUGCCAGACGCAUUUGCUAACCCAAAGAAAUUAACCAUAUUCUCAAUGAAAAUGCUCAUAUUAGUAUUAGCCCUAGAAGGACAAAAUCUAUUGUACUCUUAAAACUUAUAAAAAAUUGGUUUCAAAUAAAUUUCUUGAUAAAAAAAAUGAGCAAAUGAUCAAAAUUACCAUAAUAAAGGAGGUAAGGGAUCUAGAAGAUCAUAUGACAUAACACUUCAUAGAAUCUAAUGAGAGAUCCAGGGACCUGAAUAUAUGGCCUGGGAAAAGAAAACUACUAUAUGACCUGUUAAACUAAAAUUAGUAUUCCUCAUGUUUUAUUUUGUGAAUGUUUUUGACUGACCAUAAGUUGCAAGAAAAUAAGAAAAAAAUUAAAAUUUAUGAUUUCAAAUAUAUUUUAAUAUUCUUGCUAUUAUAAAAUUAUGUUAUUAAAAAUAAUAAAAUUAAGUUGUUAUCGAAUAUUAACGAUGGAACAUAUUAAAAGUGUUUUAUAAAUAUAAGAGACGUAGCAAUUUAUAAUGAUAUAUUAUAUUUAUGCGGGCCACUAAGUCAAAUCCUUUUAUACUCCCUUGUUUCAAUUUAUGCAUUUUUUAAAUUUAUUUAAAAAAAUACUUCUUUAUAUAUUUAAUUUGUAAUUUUUGAAUUUUUACUUUUCACAUAUCAUAUUUAAGAUCACAAGAUUUAAAAAUAUUUUAAUAUAUUAUAUAUAUUUUUUAGUUUAAGACCACGUAAUUUUUUUUUAAAAAAUUAUAUUUUCUUAAACUUCGUAUUGACACAUAAAUAAAAACGAUUUCUUAUAACUUUUUUAAACUUUGUAUUAGUUAAACUAAGACAUAUAAAUAAAAACAGAGAAUAUUACCUUUUUGUCAAUAAAAUCAGCCCAGAACCUAGCUUGAGCUCUCUUAUAAGGAUGAGUGGGCAUCAAAGGGGAUUUAUCCUUCCAAACCUCAUCUAUAUAUUGAACUAUAAUUAAGGACUCACAAACUGGUUUUCCAUUAUGGAUCAACACUGGGAUUUUCUUAUGAAUUGGGUUCAUUUGUAGUAGAAGUGAACUUUUGUUACUCAAAUCUUGCUCCUUGUAUUCAUACUGAAUACCCUUUUCAGCUAGUGCAAUUCUUACCCUCAUCCCAAACAUACUCACAUAGGAAUCCAAAAGAACAAUUUCUCCACCCAUUUUUGUUCAAAAUUUAUGGUUGGAAAUGGAACUGAGUUAUUGAAAUAUAUGUAACCAAAAUAUAUGAAUACUAAAGUUGAAAAUAAAUUACUAAGUGAUGGAUGACUAUAAAUAGAAUGAUGGUGUCAUAGGUUGGUCAUUGGUGAGACUGUAUUGCGAGAAAGUGGUGGAUGGUUCGGUUAGAAGAAAUUCAAGAAUGUCCCAAAUCUUUCUGGGAACUUCUCUUUCAAUAUUGUUAAUCCGGAAGGGAGAAAAUAAAUUCAAUUGAUGUCACUAUCCUAAAAUAUAUGCCGUGUCUUUUUAGAACUUUCACGACAUAAAUAAGAAUUGUUUAUAAUUUAAGAAAAUUUGAUUUAUUAUUUCCUCAACAUUUUUUAAUGUGUUGUCAAUAAUUUCUUUUGAUUUCAUUUACCACGUAAACUUUGUUAGCGUACGGCCUAUAAUGAUAGAUAAACCCUUGGGAAGGGAAUAACUAGAAAUGGUUGCUAAUACCCCGUAAGCUGAGAAGCAAAAGGAGAGAUCCGUCCGAGGAGGGGCUUCAAUCUGAUUAGCAAGUUGUUGAGACAACAUCUUACUAAAGGAAUAAUCAGUAGCUAGCCUAAGAGGAUGAUCAACCAGUUGUUAACAGUAAAAUUCGAGAAAAAGAGUUGAUGGUAUGAAAAAUUCUUCGAGAAGUUAUGUAGGGAUAUUCUAUAUUGUUGAAUAGAGCACUCACUCUGCAUAAAUUAGGCAUACAGGAAUUUCAGCAAUAUAAAACAAUCAAACUUCUUUAAAAUAAUCUUAUUUAUUCCGAUAUUUUUUGGCUAUUGUAGAACAAUAAUGUUAUAAAAAAUAUAAUUACUAUAGAGAGGUCUAAGUGUAUUACCUUUUUGAGAUUAAUGUGAUUUUGUAAAAUUGAUAUUGAUAUGCUCAUGAUACCUGGGAAACUGAUCUUGAUGCGCUUAUUUCUUCCAUUAAGGACUAGUUAAAAGGUGAGAUUAAUAUCACAAGUAAUUUAACUCAAUUAAUUAUAUACUAAUUCUUAUCUAGAAUAGAUAAGAUGGAAUGAGUUUGUGUAAUGUAAUAUGCAAGAUAAGACUAUUCUUCAAGCAUUAUUAGACAUAACUUUGCAAUGGAUUCCAUAUCAUAUGCGCAAGAACAUUGGAAAAUACGGUAUGACAUGAAUGUAAACUCACAAAUGGGAAAAAACAUAUUUAGGGCGUGUCCUCAUGAUCGAUGAAGUUAGUGAAAAAUAUGGGAUACAAAAUUUAACUUUUAGCACAGACAAAAAAAUGUUUAUUUUUUUAAUCUGUUUAAGCUUUUGUAAGCAAAGUUACUCAAUAUUUGUAUUGGUAAAAAAUAUAUAACAAGUCUGAGAUACAAUAAUUAUGAUGUGCACAAGUUGAAUCACACGUCAACAUUAUGAAAAUAAUCUUAAUGCAAAAUAUCUAUUUUCUUUCCCCACCCCACCCUCAAUUGAUGUUCCAAGACAACUAAAAAAAUUAGAAUGAUCCAACAGAAAUUAAACUUAAAUAACCAGUAAAACUAAAAGUCGUAAUAUACAGAUUAUUUAGAUGCUUGUCGCCGAUUGUAUUAUACGUAUUGUUACUUUAAAUAUAAUGUUUGUUUGAUUGUUAUUUAAAUUUUAUUAUAUUGUAUUAUAUCGUUAAAUAUGUUGUUACGUAAUGAAAAAAGUAUCACUUUACGUAACGACUAAUUUGGUGUGGUCGUGUCGUUACCUUAUUUUUCUUUCUCAUCUCGCCCUCAUUGUUAAUAAAUAAUUUUAUUUUAUUAUUUUCCCUAUCUUUUUAUAUAACAAUUCUACCUCUUAGCAUAAUUUUUUUAUAAUAUUGUAAGUUUAUUCCUCAUAUUGCUGGUGUGUUGUGAUAUCAUGAAACAAUGACAAAUGAUAUAGUCUAUUAAAUUAUUAUAUCAUCAAACGAUACAGUACAAUACAAUACAAUAUAAUACGAUACAUUAUGAAAUGUUACGUAACAAUCCUCGAAAGAGUCCCAUCUACUUAAGCAUGUAUUCGACCUCUCUUGAAUUCCACAUAAGCUUGAUCAACUUGCUCUGAACUAGGUAGAGACUUAGACAUAGAGUCUCUAUUCAAACAUCUGUUGCCCCACAUCACUAGCUUUGCACAUUAUGUUUCUAAGUUAAAGUUAGCAAAUUUCUUGAAAAUAAUGAACCAAUUAUUGUAACGACCUGACUGGUCGUUUUGAGCUCUAGCGCGUCGUUCAACAGUCUAAGGUUAUGAGCAGCUUCAUUUUAGGUGUUAUGACUCGCGCAUGGUCAAAAUUGAAUUUCGAGAAGUUCAGCGUUGAUUUGGAGAGACAAUUCUCAUUUCGGAAGCUUUAAGUUGAAAGAAUUAUCUAGGAUUGGACUUUAGAGUGAACAAUCUUUGAAUCGGGAUCUAAAGGUUUCAGCAGGUCCAUAUGAUGAUUUCGGACUUUGGUGUAUGUCGGGAUCAGGUUUUUGAUGACCCGGGAGCAUUUUGGCGCAUAUUAUGAAAGUUAGCAUUUUGAAAGGAUUUUUAUAAGUUUGGCUUGAAGUGCAUUUCAAUGUUAUCGAUGCUCGUUUGGGAUUCCGAGUCUGUGAAUAGCUCUGUAUGAUAAUUUUGGAGUUGGGAGCGCGAUCGGAAGUGAAUUCGGAGGCCCAUAGGUCAUUUUGGAGUCAUUUGGCUAAAGAUAGAAAUUUGACGGUUUUUAAGGAGUUUAACCGGAAGUGGAAUAUUUGAUAUCAAGGCUGGAAUCCAAUUCCGGAAGUGGCAGUAGGUCCGUAAUGUCAAAUAUGAUUUGUCUGUAAAUUUGAAGUUAAUCGGACGUGAUUUGAUAGGUUUAAACAUCAAAAAUAAAAGUUGAAAUUCUAAAGUUUAUUAACGUUGGAUUGGAGGUCGAUUCAUGAUUUUAAUAUUGUUUGAUGUGAUUUGAGGCCUCGAGAAAGUCCAUAAUGUGUUUUGGGACUGGUUGGUAUGAUUAGUUGGGGUCCCGAGGGUCUCAGGUGGAUUUCGGGUGGUUAACGAAUUGAAAUUGGGUAAAAAGCUAUAGUUGGUUGCUGGUAUCUGGUUUUCUUCUUCUCGAACGCGAAUCAAGUCUCGAAAACGUGAAGAGGAAAAUGAGAAGCUAUUUGUUUUGUCCUUCACGAACGCGAGGUUGAAGUCGCGAACGCGAAGGGGUGGAUUGAGCUGCUAUGCAAAUGCGGGGGAUAGAUCGCAAACGCGUAGAAGGAAAGGAUGGGCCUGGGUCUUUGGCCUAAGAAAACGCGAGGCUAGGCACGUGAACACGUAGGGGCUGGGUAGCUGGUCUUCGCAAAUGCGAUAGACGGGCCGCGAAAGCAAAGAAGGGCGGACCAGGGCUAGGCAGAAUGUUUAAAAUCGAGUUUUAGCUCAUUUUUCACUUCAUUUCUUCCAUGGGAGCCGAUUUUAGAGCAACUUCAGAGUGUCAUUUUCAUCUCCAAGCAUGAGGUAAGUGAUUUCUACUGGUUUUGAGUUAAAUACCAGGUUUAUAUAUGGUUUUAGACAUGAAAUUUGUAGAAAACUUGGGAUUUAAGGAAGACCUAAAAAAUUAGUAUUUUGGAUUUUUGACAAUAAUUUUGGGUAUGGAAUUAAGAGAAAAUCAUAUAUUUGAGUUCGUAAGUUCGUGAGUGAACUUUGUCUUCGAAAAAUUUUAGAUUCAGGGCACGUGGGCCCGAUGGCGUUUUUGUUAAUUUUUUGAUCGGGCCUAGGAAUUUCUAUAAAUUGGAUUGUAAUGAGUAGUUGAGUAUAUAUUAAUGGAUUUGUAUAAUCAUUGGAUAGUUUAGGAGAGUUGUGCAUCAACUAGAGUCUUCGGAAGGGCAUGGAAUGCCAGUUAUGGAUCUUUGGAGCGAGGUGAGUCUCCUUUCUAAUCUUGUAAGAGGAAAUUGUCCCCGUAUGUGAAAUAAUUAGUUAUGUGCUCCUAAUUGGGGGCUAUGUACGCACGAGGUGACGAGAGUCGGUGCAUAGCUACUAUUAUGCUAUUGUACGGGUUAGGACCCAAAAGCAUGUUAUACUUGGAUUAGUUGUAAACUUAUUGGUAGCUUGAAUUGCGUAAAUCACAUCAAAUUAGUAAAUGAAUUUCUAAUAGGAUUUAAACUUCAUUUUCUUAAUUUAUUAAAUGAGAAUUGGAUUUUCUUCAGAAAAUUUUUCCAUGUUGACUUCUUGAUUGACUACCUGUCGGCAUAUACUUUUGGAGCGGGCCGAACGCCUCAACAGAUUAAAUAGAUGUAUCUAUGAAUCGCGUCAUUCGGCCCUCGGCAGUGCACAGUUUUUUUUCUGUUGGAGGGGGCCGUCGACCUCGGCAUGAUUUGCGCAUGCUUGUAUUGCUGCCUUAAAUUUAUUAAAUUUGUUAUUGCCUCUUCAUGGCUUGAAAAUAUAUGGAUAAAAAUGAAUAAAAAUUUGGAAAUUUGCUAUAAAUGAAUUAAUUAUUUACUUGUUUCCUUCUAUUGGAUUAAAAUCAUGAUUAUAGAAAUCUAUGAUCAAAUGUAUUAUUGACAUCAAAUUAUUAGACCCUUAGUAAGUGUCGAAGUCGACCUCUCGUCUCUACUUCUUUGAGAUUAGACGGGAUACUNNNNNNNNNNNNNNNNNNNNNNNNNNNNNNNNNNNNNNNNNNNNNNNNNNNNNNNNNNNNNNNNNNNNNNNNNNNNNNNNNNNGGGAUACUCAUUGGGUACACGUUGUUUUCGUACUCAUACUACACUUCUGUGCAUUUUUGUUGCACAGGUUCAUGUGUUAUUAGUGGCCUAUUGGGCAUAGCAGCACGGAUGAUUUGAGGAUUGGGUGAGUUCAUUGUUCGAGGCAGCCCGCAGCUAGUAUUGUCCCUUUCCAGCAUAAUAUAUUUACUUUCUGUCCACUGUAUUCCGGACGGAUAUUGUAUUUUAUUUCUGUCUUAGUAAAUGCUCAUGCACUUGUGACACCGGGUUCUGGGAUGAUUUUGAAAUAUUUUGUAUUAGUUGCCUAUUAUUUAAUUUGAAUUGAAGCGGUUAUCUUUCUUUUUAUUUAUAAAAAUUGAACGAAAAGCUUAGUUUUCAAGAUUGUUAAAAGUAGAACUUCAAUAAGUAAUUUGAUUGGCUUGCCUGACUGCGGUAUUCGGCACCACCACGACCCUUAGUGGAUUUUGAAUCGUGACAAUAUGGUAUCAGAGCACUAGGUUCCUAGGGUCUCACGAGUCAUGAUCAAGUCUAGUAGAGUCUCACUGAUCGGUACAGAGACGUGUAUACUUAUCCUCGGUUGGUUGCAGGACUGUUAUGAGUACUUCCCUUAUUGAUUCCUUAUCGUGCGAUUUGAUUCCUCGAGGCUUAUGCCUUUGUUUCUUUCCUACUCAAUCUUAUGCGAUGCAAAUCGCUUGUUAUAAAUUAAGAAUUGAAGAAUUGUAAAUGGUACUACAGAUAUGGUGCGGGAUGUUACUCCCGAUAUAGUUGAUCGGACUAUUAUCGUCGCUUGACCGCUUGUUAUAAAUUGAGACUUGAAUAAUUAUAAAUAGUACUACAGAUGUGGUGCGGGGUGUUUCUCCCAGUAUAGUUGAUCGGACUAUUAUCGUUUCUUUGUGGAAGGAUAUUCUGUCGUUUCAGCUCAGUAGCGGUACCUCUGAGAGAUUUGUGGCUAGGCGCACGAUGCAUGAUUCUUAUGAACGAUUGUUCCGCAAUAUUGAUGUGAUGGUGAGAUAGUAUUAAAGAAGCAAUUGUUAGAGAUCACGUGGUGCGGUAGUUCAGGGAUAAAUUAGUGUUUCCAAUGUCGGCGGUAUGAGAAAGAUGAUCUUCCGAAAGGUGUAAAGUUAGUAGCAAUCGUGGGUUCAUGCGCCAUGAAGAUAGAUUUUAUUUAAGGCAACAAAUGAACAACAAAGGACGAGAAAGGCCAUGUGGAAGAAGUUAGUCGAGGUUCAAAAUUUUUAAAAGGCCAGGUAUAUGAAGCGAAAGUCGAGUAAUUGAUUAAGGAAGCGGAUUUACCCCAACUGGGGGAGUGACGGAUUUGCAUAUGGUCCUUGUAGUAGGAUGACCACGUACCUUAAGGAGAGUUCGGAGGGAUUGCAGAAUAUUAGUGAUUGGUGAUUAGGGUCUACGGAUUUAAUCUAAUGCAUGGGCUAUUAUACGGCAAAAGACUUUGUAUAACCGAAAGGAACUGCUUGAAAUGAAGAAGGAUACAACAUAACUUGAAUGGGAAAGAUUUUGCCGCACGUUUAAUUGAUGUCCACGAGGGGUGAACGGACUUAUGCAUCUAGAGGUUUAGCUUAGACUCAGGAUGGAUUAUUAAUGACAUAGUGAUUUUACUCUGUGCAGCAGUGUUGGAAGAUGUCGGAAGGUUAUUUCCAUAGAUGGGUUAUUCCUAGUGAGUAGGUUAGCGGUCGCAUGGUUGGCGAAGCUUCCCUAAAGAAUUCUAUUGGCUAUUCAACAAAGAGAUAGGUUUUACUAAUGUGCUAGAUGAUUUAGAAUAUAAAAAGGGGGUUUUACAGAAAUAUUUCGAGAAUUUUGGUGGUUGAUUGCACAUGGUUGUGUCAAUAAGAGAUUAAGAAUUCUAGAGAACUCCAGAGUUAUGUGAUAAAUGGCUUCAAGCCAAGUAGGAGAGUCUCACCACCUACGAUUGGGUUGCACGGUUAUCUUCUUGUGAGGUUUCGGGUUAUCGACGUAUUGGUAGUUGUUUUAGCAACGGGAAAAGAGCAUAAUUGGUAAUUUGAGCAAAGGUAUUAUUAAAGGUGGGUUAUGGUUGGCCUUACUGGCUCAUGUUCAGACAUGGGGAGUAAUUCUGUCGGGUGUUGUGUCGAGAAGGUAUACUUAUGCUAGAAGAAUCAUGGAGUUGAUUAUAUUCGGGCCAAGUCAGAGCGGGUGGCUAUCAACAACGGUCCUAGAGAAUUCAAAGAUAAGGUUUGAUGCCUAACAAUUUUGAGCCUAUAGGUGCGGCUGAAAAAUCAAGCUCUUGUAGCAGUUUAUGAGGAGAGACCCAGAAUGUCCUAAGAUGUUUUGACCGCAGUGUAGCGCGUGGGAGGUACGAAAUGGUUCGUGGGAUUUGAGACCGCAUGGUCUUGUGAUGCUAGGUCACUCGGGAUAAGUACAAAUGGAGGGUGUUAGGUGUUGAAUGGAGUUAUUAUUAUUUCUAAGGUAAUCAAGGAUAAAUUGGAAGGAGCUAGAUUGGAUAGCCAUAGUUGAAUUGGCAUAUUGGUGGUAGUGAUCAGUUCCUUCACUGUGAUUAAGUUGUGCAAGUGAUUCGUAACGGUGCAUGUGAGGCUUGUUAGCCGCCGCAACUGGUGUUAAUCAGAAUAUUCGAGUGUUGUGGCAUGUUAAGUGGAGACGGGUCCCGGAAGGGCUAUGGUGGAUUAGACAACUACUUAGAGGUUUGCAUGUUCUACUGUUAUGAGAAUUCACCUGCGUGUUACUAUGGUUCUCCUAAAGUGAGUUAAGUGGAAAAUUUUAUAUGAUGAAGUGUUAGCCUAAUAGUGGUUCCGAAGUAUGAUGAAAAAUGUGUUCUCACGUAUGUUGGCAUGUUAGGUGCAGUGAGUGGUAUGCAAUUUGAAGUAUAAAUCAAGGUAACAGCUCGGAGUGGACAAGGAUGUUGCGAGCUCAGAUGAGCAGGGUAGAAGUUUCGAUGUUUAAGGUAAGUUGGUAUUGCCUUCAGCAUUACCGGAGAUCGGUGUUUUGUGGAAAAGGCCUUGCAUCCUGGUUAAUGAUUCUCGAUCGCUCUUCAGUAUUAGCGCGGCCGGUGGUUUGGAGGAAUAACUUAGUUAUUUGUAGGCUGUGGGAGUGUGUCCCACAGGAAGAUUGUAUAAGUGUGGCAGGUAGUCACUUGAUGAUUAAAGACUUAAACCAAGUAUGAAGGUUGUGAUAAUAUCGUUGAUUUGAGAAUAUAUGCUUGGAGGGUACUCUGUCUAUUAAGUUAUGGACUGUGGAGGAUUUCUCCGGUUAUGAUGGUUGUUCUUAUGCGUAUGACUGAAAUGAGAGUUAUUGUGAACCUUAGAAAGGUUAUUAGCCUAGUCAAUGUGACCAGAAUCAACUUGAGGUCGAUGGAUGGAUUCAAAUGUGAAUACGGGCUCUAUAUCAGGCCAGAUAUGUUCAUUUUAGCAAUGCGCUCCUUAUAAAAGAAUAGUCAGGGUGUUAUUUCGUUCCCAGCUAUUUCAUGUAGUGAUAUAUUGCGCCGUAUGGGUUUUGAGAUGGCUUGGUAAAUUCCUUAUGCGUUGAGGUUCCACGUAGUGUUGAUGUUAUGUGAGCAGGAUGGCUCUUGAGAUUCAGAUCGUAUAUCGCACCUCAGUUGUGCUUGCGUUUCGUAGCUUAUAGCAUUAUAUGUUCCCUCAAGGAUGGUGUUAUGCGCUUAGCGUGCUCGUGGCCAAAAUUUGGUAUUUUAUUGUAAUAAGAAAUUUAGCUCGAUGUGCAUCUCCUUGGCACGGCGCCAUGGGCAUGUUAUUUGGAUCGGGUGGCACACCUACAUGGUUAUGUUAUUUGGAUUGGGUGGCACGCCUCCAUGGCUAUGUUGUGUAGAUCACGUUGCGCGCUACAACAGUACAGUUUUAUCCGCGAGCUAAGCCUUACUUUCAUCAUUGUUGAGCAUCCUUGAGAGCUUUUCGACGGGAAUUGAAGAAGGUGUCGACUUAGAGUGAUUGGAGGUAAGUCCUAUGAACUAAAAACACGAUUUUAUUGUAAAAUUAACCUUGAAAUCCAUGUAAACUUAGCAAAACGGGGAAGAACUAGGACUUGAGUUUUGAUAUUUCAAAUUUUGAUUUGAGGAGUCAUUUGGACUCCGAUUUUAGUGUUCUUUAUAUGUAUAGACUCAUGGCGAGAUAAGGAACCCAUUGAUAUAAGAAUUUCUGAGUUUCAAGCAGUAGGCUCUGGGCUCGGGUUUUGCCAAUUUCGAGAUUUUUAAUAUUUUUCGAUUGUUUUCGAUUAGGUAUUGUUCCAUUGGCAUAUUGUGAUGUAUUCGUUGUGGUUUUGGUAAGAUUUGACGUGCGAGGAGGCCGAAUUGAGGGGCAAUGGCGUCGCGAGCUAGGGAUUUCACCGAUGCGAGGUUAACUGUAAAUGAUAUUUUUAUAUGUUUUGUUUCUUAUUUUCUGAGGAAGCGCAUAUUAGCAUGUUGACUGCGUCGCAUGUAUGAUUCGCGAGCGGGGUAAUUGAAGUUCCUUUCCAGAGUUCGUUUUCCUUUUGUAGCACAUUAGAAUUGAUAGCCUAUAGGAACAUUGUGGCAUCAUGUGAGACUUUUGAUUAGGUCCAGGUUGGCUUAUUGCCGGAGCAGUUCGUACUGAGUGAAAUGAGAUUAUUUGGGUUUAGGAUCAGUGCAAUAUGAUUACAUGAAUUAUAGUAAGGAUUAAAGACCGUUAUUUAGUUCAGAAUGAGGUAAUGGUUCUUGUCAGAAGUAUAGACACAAUGAUUGGUUGUCUCGCCAGUUGGUUAUGAAUUUUUACACCUCGUUUGUCGCGGCAGUGUUGUAAGAGCUAGAGCAAGACCUGGGUAUGUUGUGAGGUGAUGAGAGCAUCAGACUCAUGGAAUUUUGAGUAAUUUGAUUAGAGAAUGUUAUUCUGAUCCUUGAGUAAAGUAGUGCAAGGUGUGAAUUCAGCAAAGGUUUGCAGUCGUGUUUGGGGUUCAGCAUAUAGUGAUUGAUAUGGUGAUCGUACGUUGGGAUUAGUUCUAGCAGAGAAUUUCGGAUGUUGGAAUUGGGCUCUAAGGCUUAUCAGCUUAAGCAAAAAAGGAUAUCUUCAGAUUGAUCAGGCUAAUGUGCUCGACUGAGUUGGGGUAGCAGAGGAAGGUGCAUGAGGUGUUAAACAGCGAUUUCAGACUACUUCAGUAUAGUUCUCAGCAUGUUUGAGGACGAACAUAUGUUUAAGUGGAGAGAAUGUAACGACCCUGUGAUGACGCGACCCGUCGUCUCAUGAGUUACCACUCUGUUUUCUCUAUCUUCUUCAUUAUCAGUGUCUUGUGUGAACGAGUUGGUUUGGACUGAUUUUAGAAGGAAAUGAGAUACUUAGUCUCUUUAAGGAAAGAUUAGUUUGGAAAAGUCAACCGGAUGUUGACUUAUGCGUUAGAGGGCUCGGAUGUGAUUUUCAGUGAUUCGGCUAGCUUAGGGGUUUGAGGGGUUGUUUGGUUAUUCAAAUCGCAUAGGAGGAUUUGAGGGGUUGUUUGGUUAUUCAAUGUGAUCACAGAGGGAGGCUUGCGAUCGCACAAUGUGAAGUGGAUCUGAGAAUUUAGUAGAAAAUUGUUCACUGUGAUCGCGAGUAUAGGUGUGCGAUCAUAUAUUAAAGAACUUGUGCAUCGCGAUCGCAGGGAUAUAUGUGCGAUCACAUAGGGUAAAAAAUUUGUAGCUGGAAUUUUUUAGCAUUGCGAUCGCAAGCGUGGGGCUGCAAUCGCAUAGAGGAAAAAUGGACCUCAACAGAAGUGUAUUAUAACAUUUUGUUCCGCGAGCCUAAGUUAUUUUCCUCAAUUGUUGGACACCUUGAGAGAUUUUGGACGAGAAUUGAAAAGGGUUUUGACUGGGAGUCAUUGGAGGUAAGUCCUAUAAACUAAAAACAUGAUUUUUUUGUGAAAUUGACCUUUAAAUCCAUGUAAACUUAGCAAAAAGGGGAAGAGCUAGGGCUUGAGUUUUGAUAUUUCAAAUUUGGAUUUGAGAGGUCAUUUGAAUUCCGAUUUUGGUGUACUUUAUAUGUAUAGACUCAUGAAGAGAUAAGUAAAAUAUUAAUGUGAAAAUUUUUUAGAUUCGAGAAGUGGGCUCGUGGCUCGGGUUUUGCCAAUUUCGAGAUUUUUAAUAUUUUUCGAUUGUUUUCGAUUAGGUAUUGUUCCAUUGGCAUAUUGUGAUGUAUUCGUUGUGGUUUUGGUAAGAUUUGACGUGCGAGGAGGCCGAAUUGAGGGGCAAUGGCGUCGCGAGCUAGGGAUUUCACCGAUGCGAGGUUAACUGUAAAUGAUAUUUUGAGGGUUUUACACCCCGUAUUUUCACAUCAUAGUGCUAUAUUGAGGUGAUUUGCACUCCGGAUAGCAAGCGUGGGGUAGAGCACCGUGGGGAUUGUGACUUGGUCCGUCCCGAUAGAAGAAUUUACUGCGUACUUGACUGGAUAUCACCUGUUAUCAUUAUGAUUUGAGCUGAUUGUCAUAUUUGUGUUUCGUGCUGAUUGAUUGAAUCCUUCAGGGAUUGCUAUUACGGGUUUCUUACCAUUUUUUACGUAUUAUUGAACUCAAUCCUGGUAUUUAAUACUAUUUUUCAAACUCAGGCAUAUUUUCUCAAAAAAACUUGAAAUUUAAACAAUAUUUCUAAUUAAGUUUGGGCUGGAUAUUUGUAUAUUAUUGUGCCCGAGGGGCUUAUGUGAUUCUAGACUGAGCAUGGGAUCAGGCACCGCAUCGCAGCAGUAUUAUAUGGAUAUUGAUAUGAGGCCUAUGGCCUAGUUGAUGCCACGAGAUGGCUUAUAUUGUGCUUGGGCAUAAGGGGCCCCUCCCGGAGUCUGCACACCCCCAAUGAGCGCUGUCGAUGAUAAACGGAUCGGGAUGUAUGUCGCACCGAUAUGUGGAGCAGGCUACACGCCGCAGCGGUACUGGUACAAUUUGAUGUGUUUGCAUUAUCUUAUUUGUCGGCUAUUAUCUGUUGUUUUGUGCUGCUUUUUGCAAUAUAGACCUGAUACAAUGGAUUUCCUUGAUAACUAAGUGUCGUGCCUGCGGGGCGGAAAUUCUGUGUUUAUCUGCAAUAUUUGUUUUGUAUUCGUUUGCGUAACCGCUGAAAAAGGACAUUUCAAAAGAGGCUUAAAUUGAGUUAAGACAUUUUUCUAAAGAUUUCACAUAUUCAAAGUUUCAGGGAGUUUUUCCAGAGCUGAAUUGCGCGUGCACUUCUGCCAGAGCAGAAUCACGUGUGUACUUGGUGUAUAACCUCAGCAGUAUCUUCCAUCAGAACCCCAAAUCGGCAACGAAUAUGUCCUUUAGACUUUGCUAGAAAUGGCCGAACACUAAAAAAUAGGUGGAAAACCAGCUUAAGCUGGUUGUACUUUUAAGUUCGUUCAAUUCACACAGGCAGGGUGAUUGAGGUGCGUGCUUCGCAAGUUUUUUACUUUCUUCACACAACAAAACAAAGGCAUGAUAGUACUGUACUCAACUGCUCGUGCCGUAUGGCUCUUCUACAUUAUAUAAUCUAUAAUAUGUUCAUUCAUACCAAUAUACCUGCUAAAAAAAACCAAUAAAUUUUCAACCCCUCUCACAGUCAUCAAACCUGCAACACCAAAUUCCUCUCCGCCCUCUGCUCGGCAACGCAAUUCCCAUGCUCACAGCCAGUUAGAGCAAAAAAAUCCACCCCCGUCUUUCUCUUAAAACUCACCUCAGUCUCGUAAAUGUCCUUCCCAAAUCCUAGCGUAAGGUGUAUGAUCCGCCGAAUCCAUUGCUGACUUCACCACGAUCGAUUAGGUGAAAGGGUUCUGCAAAGUUUGUUUUUUCAUACAGGCAGCGUGGUUAUAGUACUCAUAUUGUGCCAGCCAUGCAAUUCGUACUGCAUUGGCAGAAUUGCUAUACACUCUAUAAAAAGAGGCUCGAUAAGCCUUCGUGCUCUACAAAAAAAAACAAAAAACAACUUCUAUAUAGCAUGCUGAUUUUCCAUAUGUGAUUUCUUACCGCUCAGUUGUUAUUUACCUUUAUUACUCACUAAGUUGGAGUACUCACUUUACUCCCCGCACCUCGUGUGAAAAUGCAGGUAACUAUUCACCCGGUAGCAAGUUUGGGCCAAUCAGAGGCAGAGCUAUAUGAGUUAAGGAGGUGACUGUCGACGUCCGCAGCACCAUUUUCCUCUCUUUUGUUCAUUAUUCUGGUUUUGUAUACUUUAGACUUUGUAGUGGAUUUACAUUCUGAUAGGUGCUCGUGACUUGUGACACCCCGAUUAGGGCUUCGUAGGGUUGUAUUUCCGCUAAUAAAUAUUAUUAAAUCAUAUUUAAACUGUUUAUUUAUGUUUAACUAUUUUGGAAAGACAAGUUGGGUUAGUUGGUUGGCCUCGUCUUCAAGAGAGGCGCCAUCACGACCAGUGCGGGGUUUGGAUCGUGACAGACCCAACUGGUCGUUUUGAGCUCUAGCUUGUCAUUCAGCAGUUUGAGGCCAUGAGCAGCUUCAUUUCAGGUGUAAUGACUCGUACGCGUGGUCAAAAUUGAAUUUCGGGAAGUCCAGAGUUGAUUUGGAGAGAGAAUUCUCAUUUCGGAAGCUUUAAGUUGAAAGAAUUAACUAAGAUUGAAUUUUAGAGUAAACAACCUCAAAACUAGGAUUUGAAGGUUCCAGCAGGUUCAUAUGAUGAUUUUCGGACUUGGGUUUAUUCCCGGAUUGGGUUUUGGAUAACUGGGGAGUGUUUUGGCGCCUAUUGUGGAAGUUAGCAUUUUGGAAGGAUUUUCAUAAGUUUGGCUUGAAGUGCAUUUCAGUGUUAUCGAUGCUCGUUUGGGAUUUUGAGUCUGUGGAUAGCUCAAUAUGGUGAUUUUUGGAGUUGGGAGCGCGAUCGGAAGUGAAUUCAGAGGUCCGUAGGUCAUUUUGGAGUCAUUUGGCUAAAGAUAGAAAUUUGAAGGGUCUGUGAAUAGCUGCAUAUGGUGCUAUUGGAGGUGAGAGCGCGAUCACAUGUGAAUUCAGAUGUCGGUAGGUCAUUUUGGAGUCAUUUGGCUAAAGAUAGUAAUUUGAAGGUUUUUGAGGAGUUUGACCGGCAGUGGACUUUUUGAUAUCGGGGCCGGAAUCCGAUUCCAGAAGUGGCAGUAGGUCCAUAAUAUCAAAUAUGAUUUGUUUGUAAAAUUUGAAGUCAAUCGGACACGAUUUGAUAGGUUUAAACAUCGAAAAUAAAAGUUUGAAAUUCUAAAGUUUAUUAACCUUAGAUUGGAGGUCGAUUCAUGAUUUUAAUGUUUUUUGAUGUUAUUUGAGGCCUCGAGCUAAUUUGUAAUAUGUUUUGGGACUGGUUGGUAUGAACCCCCGGGGGUCUCGGGUGGAUUUCAAGUGGUUAACAGAUUGAAAUUGGGUAAAAAGCUGUUGCAGGUUGCUGGUAUCUGGUUUGCUUCUUCGCAAACACGAAGCAAGUCUCGCAAACGCGAAGAGGAAAAUGGGAGGCUGCUGAUUUUGGACUUCGCGAAUGCGAGGUUGAGGUCGCGAACACGAAGGGGUGGAUUGAGCUGCUAUGCGAACGCGGGGAUAGAUCGUGAACGCAUAGAAGGAAAAGUUAGGCAUUAGUCAUUGGCCUACGCGAACGCGAGGCUAGGUAUGCAAACACGAAGAGGAUGGGUAGCUAGCCUUCGCGAACGCGAUAGACGGGCCACGAACGCGAGGAAAGGCGGACCAAGGCUGGGCAGAAUAUUUAAAAUCGGGUUUUAGCUCAUUUUUCACUUUAUUUCUUCCAUGGGAGCAAAUUUUAGAGCAACUUUGGAGUGUCAUUUUCAUCUCCAAGCAUGAGAUAAGUGAUUUCUACUGGUUUUGAGUUAAAUACAAGGUUUAUAUAUGGUUUUAGAAAUGAAAAUUUGUAGAAAACUUGGGAUUUAAGGAAGACCUAAAAAAUUAGUAUUUUGGGUUUGUGACAACAAUUUUGGGUAUGGAAUUAAGAGAAAUCAUAUAUUUGAGUUCGUGAGUUCAUGAGUAAACUUUAUCUUCGAAAUAUUUCAGAACCAGGCACGUGGGCCCGAGGGCUUUUUGUCAAUUUUUUGAUCGGGGCUAGGAAUUUCUAUAAAUUGGAUUGUAAUGAGUAGUUGCGUAUAUAUUAAUGGAUUUGCAUAAUCAUUGGAUAGUUUAGGAGAGUUGUGCAUCAAUUAGAGUCUUCGGAAGGACAUGGAAUGCCAGUUAUGGAUCUUCGGAGCAAGGUGAGUCUUAUUUCUAACCUUGUAAGAGGAAAUUAUCCCCAUAGGUGAAAUAAUUGGUUAUGUGCUCUUAAUUAUGUGGGCUACGUAAGCACGAGGUGACGAGAGUCCGUGCGUAGCUACUAUUAUGCUAUUGUCCGGAUAGUUAGAACCCAAAAGUAUGUUAUACUUUGAUUAAUUGUAAACUUAUUGACAGCUUGAAUUGCGUAAACCAUUUCAAAUUAGUAAAUGACUUUCUAAAAGGAUUUAAACUUCAUUUUCUUAAUUUAUUAAAUGAGAAUCGGCUUUUCUUCGGAAAAUUUUUUCAUGUUGACUUUUUGAUUGACUGCUUGUGUGUGUUUAUUUUUGGAACGGGCUGAACGCCUUGGCAGAUUAGAUAGAUGCAUCUAUGGUUCGCGCCGUUCGACCCUCGGCGGUUCACAGUUUAUUUUCUGUUGGAGCGGGCCAUCGACCUCGGCAUGAUUUGUGCAUGCUUGUAUUGUUGCCUUGAACUUAUUUAGAGUUAUUAAUUCAUUUUCACGGAUUGAGAAUAUUUGGAUAAAAAUAAAAAAAUUACAAAUUUUCUGUAAACGAAUUAAUUGUUUACUUGUUUCCUUCUAUUGGAUUAAAAUCAUGUUUGUAGAAAUCUACGAUCAAAUGUAUUAUUGACAUCACAUUAUUAGACCCUUAGUAAGUGCCGAAGUCGAUCUCUCGUUUCUUAUUCUAGAUUACACGGGAUACUCAUUGGGUACACGUUGUUUUCGUACUCAUACUAUACUUCUGUGCAUUUUUGUUGCAUAGGUUUCAUGUGUUAUUAAUGGCAUAUUGGGCAUAACAGCAUGGAUGAUUCGGGGACUGAGUGAGUUGCAUUAUUCGAGGCGGCCCGCAGCUAGUAUAGUCUCAUUCCAGUAUAAUAUAUUUACUUUAUGUCCACUGUAUUCUGGACAGAUGUUGUAUUUUAUUUAUGUCUUAGUAAAUACUCAUGCACUUGUGGCACCGAGUUUUGGGAUGAUUUUGAAAUAGUAUGUAUUCGUUGUCUAUUAUUUAAUUAGAAUUAAAGCGGUUAUCUUUCUUAUUAUUUAUAAAAAUUGAAGGAAAAGCUUAAUUUUCAAGAUUGUUAAAAGGAAAAUUUCAAUAGGUAAUUUGAUUGAUCCUUAGUAAGUUUUAGAUCGUGAAAGUUAUAGAAGGGAACAAGAGCUAUGUCUACAAAUCCAAAGGCAUCUCCUCCGAAGUAAAGUUUCUUUCCAAGUUCUGCUUCUAACAACUUAGACCAGUCUACAAGUUCUUUCUUACGUGUUUCUUGCUCUUCUGCUGCCCCCAUCCAUACCUUUAAUUUAUACUUGACUCGUAUACCUAAAUUACCAUUAGAUUAAAAAAUGUCGAAAUGCUUAGAAACUUUGUACUAUAAGACAUUCUCAUCUUUUUCUCUUGAUAAUUUUUUGGUUCUUCAAAUAGAGUUUAACUUUUGUACGCUAAAUAUGUAUAGUAUUUUUUACACUAUUAUGUUAAAGCAUGUUCAUAGCACUUAAACUUAUUUAAUGGUUAUUGUUAUUUUGUUAUUACUAUUUAGUAGUUCUUAUAAUAUUGGUAUUAUUUUUAUGGUUUUUGUUGAUGGUUAUCUUUUUUCGUCUUUUUUGUUUUCUUGAAUCGAGGGUUUAUCGGAAACAAUCUAUCUACUUCAUCGGAGUAAGCGUAAGGUCUGCAUACAUAUUAAUCUCUCUAGUCCCCUCAUCUUUGGAAUUUUACUGAAUUAUUGUUGUUGUUAUUAUUAUUAUUAUUAUUAUUAUUAUUAUUAUUAUUAUUAUUAUUGUAUGUUAAAGCGUGCCUUAUAACAACUUGUAACUUUUUAUGAUAAGCAUAAUUUGGUAAAUUAAGAGAUUAAGUAAAUAACACGUUAUAAUUGGUUAAGAUACAUUAUUGCGAUAAUAAUCAUGCCUCGAUUCCAAGCAAGUUGACCCAACUAUGUAAAUCUCUACUUACCAUCACUACGUUUAAGUUCAUCUAAAUCUAAUAUUGUGAAGUAUUGGCUCAAUAUCAAUUUAUGUAAAGGUAUUUGGAUUUCAAGAGUUAAACGAAUUCUUUUUGAUUGUUAUUAUUUUAUAUGCCUUUUACAUAUUUUAAAUAAUUAAUUAUAUUACUUCUAUGUAAUUUUCAGAUAUAUAAAUAUUAUCCGAAAAAUUAAAAAAAAAUUAUCUCCAAAUGCAUUAUCAAUGUUAAAAAGUUUAAAUCUCGAAGAAAAUCGAAAAGUAUCACAUAAAAUGGGACCAUGGGGGUACAAAAUAUAAAUAAAAGCAUGGGUGGAUUUAGGGGGCGCAAGAAUGUUCGUCCGAACACCCUUCACCAAAAAAAUUACAUUGUAUGUAUAAAGAAAAAUCUAUCUUUUACCUCUAUCUAUUAAGUUUUGAACAUCCUUAACACAAUCCAAAAGUAUAGUUUAGUGGUUAAGGGGUUUCAAAAUCUACAUAAGGUCAUGAGUUCAAUUUUCACUAGCUACAAAAAAAAAAUAUGAACCCCCUUUAUGGAGAUCCUGAAUCCGCCACUGAAUAAAAGUACUCUUGUUAUGAAACAGUAAAAGAAGAAGAAGAGUAAUAUAGAGAAAAGUAGAGAUAAUUCUUAUUGAUUUGAGAUGAAUUAUAAUGGAAUAUAACCCUCUAUUUAUAGAGAGAUGGUGACUUAGCCACCAAGUAAUAAACCCUAGAAUCUCUCUAAAUAUAGACAGUCACCUUAAAUAGAAUUCUAUUUAUAACACUCUCCCUUGAAUGUCUAUUCAACAGAUAAUGUGCAUCGUUAAAACUUUAACUAAAAUAAAACACGAUGGGAAAAAGAUCUAGUAAAGGAAAAAGAGUACAUAGAACUCUAUUUAUAAUAUUCCCCCUUGAAUGUCUAUUCAACAGAUAAUGUGCCUCGUUAAAACCAUAACUAAAAUAAAACCCAAUAAAAAAAAUUCUAGAAAAGGAAAAAGAAUACACAUAUCUAACGUUACCCCUUCUGGUUACCUCAUUAAAAACCUUGUAAGAAAAAUCCAGUGGGACAAAACCUUGUAAGGAAAAAAGAUUGCAAGGCACAUUAACUCGCCCUAAUGAGAGCAUCAAUUAACAUCCUUGAGCCUUCGCAUCCCAAUCUUGUGCACCAUCUUCAAAAGAUCUCUUGAACGAAUUUGUUUCGCCGUGAAAUCAUCAUUCCUAAUAGAUUUGUAAUGUUUUCAUAAAAUUCCAUGGAAUGAACUUUUCAAUAUCUCCAUAGAGAUUUUCACUAUCAUAUUAUCAUGCUUAUAGUUAUAGUAAGAUACAUAUGUGCAAAAAUUGCACUUAGGAUACAGUACUUAUGACCAUGAAUUCUAUAUGCUUUAAGCAAUUUAAAUCCUUUGGGGAUUUUCAUAUAAGUUAAGUUAUAUAAGCCAUAUAGUAGACAGUAGAUGCAUAUCAAGUUUUCAUGUCAUCAUAGACAUAUAAGAUAUCAAAAACAAAUUGUACAUACCAUUGACUUUAUACUUUCAAGUAUUUGAACUAUAUGUUCAAAACUACAUGUAUUUCGUAUGAAACCAAUUCUACUUGAAUUGUUUCUCUAAACUUAAGAUCCUAAUAUAUAUUUAGCGCUAUCAUAGAUGUCAUCAAAAAAUAUAUUAUAUCGGUUCCAACCUUUUUUUUUUCAUAAAGACAUAACAUAGAGAUCUCUUCAUUCAUAUAUUCAGGUACCUGAAUCUCUCAUGAGAUUUUAUGAAGUAUUUUGUCAUGUGACCUUCUAGAUCACCUGCCUCCUUUAUUAUGAUUAUUUAGAUCAUUUGCUCAUCUUCUUUAUCAAGAAGUUUAUUUGAAACCAAUUUGUCUAUACGCUUUAAGCGUACCACAGACUUUGUCAUUCUAGGACUUAAUAUGAGCAUUUGUAAUAAGAAUAUAGUUAUUUUAUUUAGGUCGGCAUAUGUGUCUGGCAUGCUUUGCAAUAUAUUGUAGAUGAAUUAUCUUUUGAUGAACUUCAAGUUCAUAUUAUCUUAUUCGAGGAUCUAGAUGUACAAAUAAUAAUUUAUUUCACAUAACUUUUUCUCAAUUGUUUAUCAUAUCUCCCUCUCAUGUUAGAAGAACUAACUUGUUCCUCAACUUUGAGAAUCCAUCUUUGUACGUUAUGGUAUUAAUCAAAAUAUAUACCGCACAUCAAGAAUAAUAAGAUGGGAUUAUUUGGUUCCUGACCCUGAACCACUUGUUGAGGGGAGAAAAUAAUAUACGUUCGUAUAUAACGUAUAUCAAACUGAUAUAUAUAGUUUUGUUCUAAUAAGCAAUAGUUUAGCUAUUAAGUGGAGACACUCAACAAAAUUAUUUUUCUAAACCAACGGUGAUGAAACCAACUUAUCAAGAUAAAUUUCUUGAAUAAAAAAAUUUCGGAAAUUAUGCUCGAAAUUAAAUUAUUGAGCAAGUUACCUCGCAAACACCAUGUUGCGGGUUAAUAAUAAUCGCACAUGUAACCAUAUCAUUGAUGCAUAUUAUGUGGUAUACAUGGCAGGUGAAUGGACCAUACUCACCUUUGAUAUUUUCAGCAUUCAUGGGAUUCAACCUAAUUUUAGUUGGUAUAUUAAUUAAUGAGAACAAGCAACAUAAAAGAAUUUGUAAGGAACUUUAUAGUUCUUUGAUAUUUACUCAUACGAAUUUUCUUUUAUUUUUGCACAUCAUACUUAAACUAAUAUGGGUAAACCAAUUAUGCUAUCUAAAUAUUCAAAUUUACGUCAUGACGUGUGCAAAUAUCAAUAAGCUCCAAGUUUAUUAUGAUACGAAUUUUUACAUCAAUAAAUAUUCACUUAUUGUGAUAUUCUUUUAUUUGUGUAGUACAAACUGGAGAAUAAAGCAGGUAACUUUUCACAUACAUAUUACCCAGCUAUAAGUUGUAGUAAUAGAAGAUAUUAAAUCUUUCCUUUAUUUAUAAUCUCAAUAUAAUCAAUCGCUUUCGCGAAUAACUUAGAAAUUCAAUUAAGUUUCUCUGAGACUUACUACAAUGCAAAUAAUUUAUUGGUAAUCAAUUGUGUUUCUCCAAAAUAGUAAUAAUUGGCUCUUUUAGAGCUCUCAAUUAAUUUUAUUCUACCACAUAUUCAUCAAUAUCCAUGUGGUGAAUAUCUCUUUUAAAGAGAAAGUUAUACAAUUAUGGUUAUGGUCAAAAUUAUAUACAAGAUAUGUUCUUGCAUUAUUGUUUUUCUUUAAUAAUCACAUUACUAAAAUAUUUUGGCGUACAAUACAAGAUAUGUUCUUGCAUUAAUGUUUUUCUUUAAUAAUCACAUUACUAAAAUAUUUUGGCGUACAAUAGGUUCGUGACCAAUGAUCACUGAUGCCAUAAUAAUGACAUUAUUUUUUUAUAUCAUCUCAAACCUCCUUCUAGAGGUGGGUGUGGUAUAUUCACUACCACUAGCACGUUCAUAUUCUUCCAAGAAUGAAUAUGUAUUUAUAAAUUAGAUGUUGUCACACUCACACGAGUGUGGUAUAUUCACUACCACUAGCACGUUCAUAUUCUUCUAAGAUAGAAUAUAUAUUCAUAAAUCAGAUGUUAUCACAUUCACAUCAUGAAUGGGUCAUAAUCAUCUAUAUGUGCUUUAUAAAAUCUCAUGUCAAAUCGAUGACAAAUAAUACUUUCACAAAGUGAAGAAUUAUUUAGAGAAUCUUUAUUGUUAUCAUUACCACAAUAAUGACGAUUAUAAUUUUGUCUAUUGUCAUGUUCACAUCCAUUGAUACAUUCAUAGUAAUAAUUUUGUCUUAUUUUAGACUUAUCAUAUACUGCUAUAACAUUCUAUUAAGGGAAUGAGAAUGAAGCAAAGUCAAUGGGACGAAUUUCCAAUAGUUUGCGCACAAUCAUACAUGAAUUUAAUUAUGGCAAGGUAUAGACUUUUUAUUAUUUCAGGUGGUUAUAAUUUCUUACAAACUCCAUUAGAAUUAUAAUCAAGCUUUGUUGUCUUUGCUGUAUAUAAAAUCAAAAUAUAGAAUAAAGAGAAAAUGUGAUAAAAUAUUUAUCUUAAAUCCAAAAUUUAAUCAUGAAGGAAGUUCAUAUAACUAUUGACAAUCAUUAUGCUCAAUCCCAAAGCUUCUACUCAAUUAGUUAGAGUCUCGUGAUGAUAACGUAUUAUGAAACAAUAAAAGAAGAAGAGUAAUGUAGAGAAAAGUAGAGAGAGAUAAUUCUUAUUGAUUUGGGAUGAAUUACAAUGGAAUAGAACUCUCUAUUUAUAGAAAAACGGUAACUUAGUCGCCAAGUAAUAAACCCUAAAUAUUCACCAUACUGGAUAAUGUCUGAUUCACAAACCGAUUUACCGUUAUGGACAAGAACUGGCACCUUCUGAUGAACCGGGUUCAUUUCCGGAAGGUUAAAGGAGUUGUAAGGUAUUUUACCUUAAAUCAAUUGUUGUGAAGACAUGAGACUUUAAUUUCUGUUUCUUUUGUGGUGCAAAAAGUCAAUAAACAUCAUAUAAUUGAUAUUAGUUGUAUGAGAUAAGUUUUUUAUCUUAUAAUCUUGUGGGCCUAAAUUUAUAUGAAUCCAGAAAUGUAAGAUUGAGGUCUACAAAUAUUUAAGAUAAACAGGAAUUUCAUACAACUACUGUUAGUUGUAUGACACAUAAAAUAAAACUUCUCAUUUAGGAACCCUUUAGUAUAGAUUUUGCCAAAAUAAAUUUUGAUUUUAUUUAGCAAAUAUAUAUUUGGCUAUAGAUUUUGAUUAUAUUUUAACAAAAUCCCAAAUCUCAAAAUCAGCUCAAUAGCUGCUUUUGGACAGAAAUAUCAUUAUUUUAUUUUUAAAAAAUUACCACAAUGUUUUAUAUUUUAUAAAAUAGCCCAACAUUUACUAUUUUGUAACAAUGUUGCUUCUUCUUCUCGGUUAUCUGAUAAUGUAUCAUGUAGUUCAUUAUAAAAAUGAUAAUGUUCAAGACUAUGGUUUACGAUAAUAUAAUGAAUGUUAUUGAUGAUGGUACCAUUGGGUAUUUGUGAUAGCUUUUAGAACUUAUGGGUAUAAGUCAUUUUUCAUAUUUUUUCAAAAUAAAUUUGGAAAAUAUUUAUUGAAAUCUGAUAUCCAAACACAUUUUCAUCUUCAAACCAAAUUUCAUGCAAAUCAAAUUUUUCAAAACAAAUUUGGAAAUCUAUGGUCAAACGCUAGCUUAGAAUAUAUAUUAGAGAAAAGUAAAAUUUGAAGUUUAGUAGAAAAAAAAAUAUUUAAAUGUUGAAGUUGUAUUUGGACAUAAUAGCACAGUUAAAAUUUUGCAAUAAAAAACUCCUAAAACACAUUUUUUAUAUUUCAGAUUCUAUAUAUCAAACUUGAAGUUAAAACGAUGAGCCAUUUUGAUAAAUAAACACAUAUUUGAACGUAUCUGCUUCUUAUUUUAAAUUUCUGAAACAAGAUCUACGGACAAACUUGAUUGCAUUUCAUUUUUUUAAAAUUUUUUUUUGUAGGAUUAGCUGGAAUUCUUUGUCUAAUUUGUGCAAUUCGUCUAUAUGUUUGACAAGAUGUGAAAUUAAAAAAGAAAAUACGACUUUUGACACAUACUUAAAAUAAAUUCUGGGAUCUUGUAGUUCUAAAUUUAUCAUAAUACUUUUAUGGCUAUAAGAAUAUGCCAUUAAGCGUAAAGAUAAGUUUAGGUUAAUUUUUAAAUGUAUAAACAUGUCAUUUUAUUUGAACAUAUUUAAAAGAAAAAAUCUUAUAUAUAUAUACAAUAGUAUAUGAUCUAGUUUCAUCAACAACAAUGACUACUAUUGAAGCGAUAGCUUAAUUCUGUUUUGGCAAUAUGAAAAUCGUAAAUUGACACUCAACUUUGUAUUGGGGACAUCUCACAUUUUAUUUAAAUAACUCGAAAAAUUCAAAUCAUGAUGCUUGUAAGCAAAUCAUAUGCAUUAGAUAAAACAGUUGUGCUUGAUGGAGUCUUCACUAUGGUAAACGAUUUCAUAUACAGUAACAUCUUAACUGGCGUGGAAGUGAUAAGAGGAUUCAGUCUGAUUCUUUAAUUACGAAGGUUAAUCAUGCGCAUGCCUCAAAAUUUUGAAUUAACAGUAUGAAAAAGUAAAUUAACUUAACCGUUCAUAUUGUUUGACUAAAGAAUGUUGAGCUUUUUGUUAAACUAAUUAAAUAAGAAGGUUUUUAGUAAAUUCUAGCCAAAGAUAAUUUAUCCUAAAUCUAAGAUAGAAAAUAUAUAUAAUCGAGCAAAGCAAAUAUAAGAUUUAGCUAUAACAUCGAUUGAAUCCCAUUAUAUAAGAUGAGGAUGAUGAUUUUCAUAACAUUAAAUAUCAAUGAAGAAUACACAAAUAAAAAGGGUUACCAAUCUUUAACAAGGUAGAACCCCGUAUAGUUGUUGUGAUGAGAUUAACGAUAAUAAUAUACGUUCGUAUAUAACGUAUAUCAAACUGAUAUAUAUAGUUUUGUUCUAAUAAGCAAUAGUUUAGCUAUUAAGUGGAGACACUCAACAAAAUUAUUUUUCUAAACCAACGGUGAUGAAACCAACUUAUCAAGAUAAAUUUCUUGAAUAAAAAAAUUUCGGAAAUUAUGCUCGAAAUUAAAUUAUUGAGCAAGUUACCUCGCAAACACCAUGUUGCGGGUUAAUAAUAAUCGCACAUGUAAUAUACUAGAUCUUCUCUGUUACCCAACGGUCAUAAAUCAUUGUACUUAAGUCGUGUACUAUAUUACGGGUUGACCCCUUGAAAUGUUGUAAUAUCCAAUUUGCCUCCCAAGUAUUCUGAAUUCAUGACCUCGCCCAUGGUCGAUGUGUGUGUCGUUAUAACAUUGUAUGGAUACGGUUGUCCCAAGUAACUUUUCGUCGUACCUUUCCACGUCGAUUCUCGUCUGACAGAUUUUGGCCCACACAAUUAGCCCCUCUUUCCAUUAGGGUCGCCUCAUGGCGAACUCGAUGGGCAGACUUUGUCGAUUCUAAAAUUGUGACAAAUCUGAACAGUUUGCGCGAGAGACGAGCACCUCAUGGAGAGGUAGCGACAUGACAUUUCGAGAGCUGCGUCAGACCGUCACAUAAGUUUAGAAUGUCAUUAAUAUUUCUCAUACUUCAUUAUGGCACACGUUUUUUAUGCAUUGCGUCAUUUCCCCGUGCCCAUUUUGUUUUCUAAAUGGCGGCAUUUGGUUCUUCUGCUCAAGGCAUUUAUAUCCCCAAAAAUAGGAUAGAAUCUUUCAUUUGAAUGCUACGCUUCUUAAUCGCUCAAGAGAGAUUUUUGCAACUCUUCCCCUUCUCCUUCAGUUUCUCAUACUUCUGUUUUUGUUAGGAUUUGUUGUGACACUACCUUCUUCCUUAUCAUUCUUGUUUCUUUCAAUCAAAGAAAAGAUAUCUAGUGCUUCUUCUAACUCUGGUAAAGCCAUUGAUGCUCCGGUGCCGGAAAAUGCACCCCUAAUCAAAGGGGGAGGGGGUACAGUGGAAGACGAGGGUUUUUUGAUAGUAGAUGAAAAUGUUCCCCGUCCAGGGAAGGCGAGGGCUGAUUUCAACAGCCCUGCUAGGGAUGAGGGUAUAAGGCUCUCUCUCUUUCUCUCUUUCUCUCUCUAUAUCUCUCUCUCUCUCUCUCGCUCUCUCUCUCUCUCUCUAGUUCUUUGAUAAUAUUAAAUAGAGUAUUUCUAGAUACCUGCGAGUAUUAAUUUAGUAAUACACAUUUUGAACUAAGUCAUAAUCAUGUGCAACUCCGUGUUAGAUCUAAAACAAAGAUAUAUAAACUUAAUAAAAAAAUAAUUCUCAUUUCAGAAAAUCAUGCUUGAUCUAUAGAUUAGUUUCUUCUAGCUUCCUACUAUACUCCAAGAUUAUAUAUCCUUUAGUACUCCAUCUUCUUCUUCUUGAUAUUAAACUGUAAUGGCAAAACAUCAAACCACUUUUUCAAGUAGUUUCCGAUCUUCUAGCUGCAUUCUUGUCUUUCUCUCUGCCUUAUCAUCCAUUCCUCAUUCUUCCGUAGUAGGCUCGCUCAUAGGUGCUCGGCCAUACUAGGCUCUGUAUCUCGGUCAACUAGGCUUGCUCAUAGGCACUUGGCCACGAUAGGUUCGGUAUAUAACUUAGCAUCUGAUAAGAGGUUUUCCAAUAAGGACAUGCUCAUCGAUUAUAGCUUGAUGGUAAUGAAAAUACUGUAAUAUUGUAUAUAUAAAUUCUUCGCUCUCUUGACUGGAAGAAGAAAAUACUCAAUCGAAUAUAGAGUCCUGAUAAGGAGAAUAUUGUAACUUACAAAAUUAGAAAAAUAUACGUAAAUUUCGAAGCAUGAAUUUUUCUUUAUAUCUCAUUAUUAAACUUAUGUAAUUAGUGGGAUCAUGCAAAAUGACGGAGAAUCUUAGCCUUAACAUAUUUAAAGUAGGGAAAAAUUCAUAUAAUAAUCUUGAGAAAGAUUGCAUCGAACUCUUUUUAUAUUUAAAAGAAAACUACAUACAUUUUUCACUUUAUUAUCUUCCACACACCAAAAUAAGAAACAUCACAAGGUGGAGGUAUUAAAUUUAUGGACCAAAAGACAAUGAUUGUCAAACCAUCAUAAACAAUUGGGAAUAAAGUUCUUUUAUUCUUGUUGGUAAGAAACGAUGGGAAAGUAAAGAAAUUGUUGGAAUUGAUGCAAUAUGAUUGUAAUAGUUGAGAAUAAAAUGUUAUUUUGUAGUCAAAAUCAUAAAUAAAGUGUCUUGGAAUCCAUCUAUUAGGUUGCCACCUUUUACACGACUUUAAGAGUCAUUGCUUUGAAAGGGAGGGGCUGCCACGUGGAGGUAGGCAAGAUUAUCUAAAAUAUUGAAUUAAUUAAUUGAGUAAUAUUUCGCUAUUCGAUAAUUUAUCAAUUAUUUACGUAAUUAAAAAUUAUCUCAAAUUACAUAAAAUUUUAUUUCUUUUUAAUACACUUUAUACAUCCUAUCAUCAUGGUCAUAUGGUACCUCGUAUGGUACUAGUCCGUAAAUAUCGAGUAUUAUUGUUUGGCCCGUAUUUUAUCCUAAUAUGUCAACUUGGACGAAAAUUUAUUUUCUUCGACUUGCUUCCCCUCCCACCUUUACGAAUUUACUCAUAACUUGUUUGAAAGAACAUAAUGCUUAUAAUAUCAAAAUAAUCCCAUUUCUUAUUUUACGCCAAUUAACUUACGACGAAACUUAAACAUUCGAAAAUGUAGGAUGUAACAUACGUAUAUAAGUUCUUCCUUAUGCUUAGCAAGUAUGCGGAAUUAGCCGAUCGAGGAAUUUCUCUACAAUACAUGCUUCACCUCUUCGCCCUCUAUUUUCAUAGGGGCAUGAUGGUUCACAUGCGUCACUCAAGGACCAAGGGUUUGGUGGUGAAGAUGGAGGACAAGACCAUCCAUCUCUUUUGGGAAAAUUACUUCUAUGUCUGUACGGGGCACGUGGUGUCUAACCCUGCCGAGUUCCUUGAGGUGUGGAAUUUCGCUCGUACGUAUCCUUUUCCUUUUGUUAUAUUAUAUUUUUUUUAACAUAGUUGUUGGUCAUCUCUCUUUAGUGACCAUAGUGUUUUCUAUUUUUGCAGCGAAGAGGGUGGCUCCUCCGCAAGUUGCCAACAUACGCGAAUGGGUGAGUAUUAUUCUACCCCACAUGAUGGGGAUCCACGAAUAGGCGCCUUUUUAUGAGAGGUUUGGGCGCAAACCUUCCACUGGUGAAUCGACUUGUUUCAGCCUUAGUUGAUUAUUCUUUUCUCCAUCUUUUUUCUUUAACUUACCUUUGUUUGAUCCAAUUUCCUAUUGGCAGGUCGGAGAGGAGCGAGAAUGAAAGGGGCUUGACGGAGUUAAGCUGUAUUGAGGGAAUCGUUUUGUCUCAAUCAAUCAAGAAUGCCUCAACUGGAUAAAUUCACUUAUUUCACACAAUUCUUCUGGUCAUGCUUUUUCCUCAUUCUUAUUAGGUUCUAUCUCCCUUGCUCAUGCACUUGCUUUCCGUCAAUCAGCUGUCUCUGUCUGGCCCGUACCAAGAGCAACUGCAGAUGAGGGCAACCAAAGUUUGGUUGCUCAGCAGACUGCGUCUUUGGCUCAAACCAUCUGUUUGGAGGUUGAUCCUCGACCGGAGACUCCGGUCCCUGCAGCCCAUUCAACGGGCAAACUUUCUCGUGGUAGCAGUGAAGAGGCCCCAUCGAAGAGGCGAAGGAUAGUGUUGGAAGGGGAGUCUUUAGCUGAAACUCCCUCAAAGGGCGACCUCAUUUUGGCAAUGCCUAAAAGCGGUGGUGGUGCCAGCCUGGGUGUGGAGGAGAUGCCCGUUUUGGGCAUGGAAAAAGGCUACUGGGUUAGAGGGAUUGAGUUUUGAUGUUGCCGCUACUGUUUCGAGCGACCCAUCAAUGAUUGGGCUGGCCCAUCCCCCUUCUUCGGCUAAUGAGAGGUUGAAGGGAAUUAUGGUGGAAGAUACUGAAUUUGAUUCUGACAUUGAUCUGAGGACAUGAGGAUGUUAGAGGAGGGCUUUACUAGGGUCGAUGUGAGGGCGGAAGGUCGUUCUCGCGUACUCGAAAUCCCGUCGGAUUUUAACAUAUUGGAGGAUACAGUGAAUUUAGUGUCGCGAUCGCAUAUUCAACAUAGAUUUCAGACUUAUGUGCCUUCCAGAACUAGGGGUAUUCGAUCCCGGUGCGUAUGAUUAGCCAGCUUUGCAACAGUAAAAGGAUUAGACGUUCCCCCAUGCUAUGGUUCCCUACGGUCCAAACCCCUUUCCGCGUUCGAGAAUCUCCCCUUCUUCCAAUGAAUUUCUGAAUAAUGAAAGGUCACUUCUUGAAUAAAAUAUUUCUAUUUGCCUCAGUUCAACCUUUUGUGCUCUGCCACGAUUCUGGAGAUCAGUGAUUUUGAUUUGUCAUGCGGUGUCGCCUGGAUGGCCCUAAGCGUGAGUUCCCUUUUGUUAUUUUCUUUGUUUUGUGCCCUUUGCUUUUGCUGAUUACUAUUUUUUAGACUUACAUGCUGGAGAUCGAGAGUGCCUGUAGAGAUGAGGCGUGGGCCGAAGUUUUUCUGAAAAUGGCCGAGAAGUACCAGCGGUAUCGCGACAGGUGCCAUGAGAAGCUCGAGAAGCUUUAGAGCGGGCACUAGUACUCAAUCUUUUAGGGAGGAGUUAGAGAAAAUGGACGAGGAUCUGAUGCGGUCUGUCCAUAGUUGCAGUAAGCUCGAGGGGCUACUUAAUGACAAAGGCAAGGAGCUCGAGGUGGGACAAAAAGGUUGCAGCAGAAUACAAUGACCUUUUGGCGAAUGUGCUGUCUUUGCGAGCCGAACUUGAGCAGAAUACCACUGGAGUCGCCAACCUAAGUGCAGAGUGGACAGAGAAUGUGGCAGAGCUAGAAACAAAGGUGGCCGAAUUGGAGAGAGCUGAGAGAGCUCGAAUGGAGGCAUUUGGUAAGGGUGGUAGUGAUGGAAGACACUAUCCACGUCCUCAGGUCUGAGCGGGAAGCUAAGAGGGAGAUGGCCACACCAAGGGAAACAAGACUCGAGGAGCAGAUUGGUGAACAUGAUCGAGAUGCUUCGAGCCUAGGAGACCGAGUUGAGGCUCUCGAGGCCGAGAAGGUGCAACUAUUGGCUCACGCCCACCCUAAAGAAUCUUCCCAUGUUGUUGUCCGCCGCCAUUUAUACGAGCUAUGGGUCCAUGCUAAGGCCUAAUGAUAUAUAUAUAUUGAUGCUCCGGUGCCGGAAAAUGCANNNNNNNNNNNNNNNNNNNNNNNNNNNNNNNNNNNNNNNNNNNNNNNNNNNNNNNNNNNNNNNNNNNNNNNNNNNNNNNNNNNNNNNNNNNNNNNNNNNNNNNNNNNNNNNNNNNNNNNNNNNNNNNNNNNNNNNNNNNNNNNNNNNNNNNNNNNNNNNNNNNNNNNNNNNNNNNNNNNNNNNNNNNNNNNNNNNNNNNNNNNNNNNNNNNNNNNNNNNNNNNNNNNNNNNNNNNNNNNNNNNNNNNNNNNNNNNNNNNNNNNNNNNNNNNNNNNNNNNNNNNNNNNNNNNNNNNNNNNNNNNNNNNNNNNNNNNNNNNNNNNNNNNNNNNNNNNNNNNNNNNNNNNNNNNNNNNNNNNNNNNNNNNNNNNNNNNNNNNNNNNNNNNNNNNNNNNNNNNNNNNNNNNNNNNNNNNNNNNNNNNNNNNNNNNNNNNNNNNNNNNNNNNNNNNNNNNNNNNNNNNNNNNNNNNNNNNNNNNNNNNNNNNNNNNNNNNNNNNNNNNNNNNNNNNNNNNNNNNNNNNNNNNNNNNNNNNNNNNNNNNNNNNNNNNNNNNNNNNNNNNNNNNNNNNNNNNNNNNNNNNNNNNNUUUGUUAUCUUUACUUUGAAUCAAAUGGUCGGUUAGUCUUCGUUCGUGUGUUUUUGGAUUUUCCUUCUCUUCCUUUCAAAUUUCAAGGAUUUUCUCGCAAUGAGUCCGUAACUUCUGGUAGUUGAUCUGAAUGGGAUCGAACUCGACUCGCUAAUUUGAACUCGACUUUUUUAACCGAGGUGGGGUUGAAUCUCGUCUUGCAAAUUUCGAUUGAAGCCAGUUUUGACUUGUUAGUUCGAGCUAGGUAGAACAUCAUCUUGCCAAUUUGGGUGAGGUCACUUUGGACUUGUAAAUUCGAACGAAAUCGAAUUUUUUUCUCGCCAACUUGGGCGAGGUUAAGUUUGACUUGUUUGUUCGAAUGAGAUUGAAUUUCACUUUCACGUGGCGAUGGCCGGGCGCCGCUGCGUGUGAAUCCGAACGAGGCCAAAUUAUAACCCGUGAUGAGUUCGAGCAAGGUCGAACAUCGAUUUGAUAACUUGAGCGGGGUCGAAUAUUACUUACUUGGUGACGUCCAGGGUCAUACGGGUAUAAAUUUGAGUGAGGUCGAACGUUAACUUUGCUUGGAGAGGACCGAUGGCUAUAAGGGUGUGAAUUUGAGCGAGGUCAAAAAUGUAACCUGUUAUAAGUUCGAGCGAGGUCAAACUUUUAUUCUGAUUGGCGAUGGCCGAUGGCCGUAAAGGUGUAAAUUUGAGCGAGGUCGAGAUUCUAACUCGUUGUGAGUUCGAGCAAGGUCAAACAUUAGCUUUUUUUGGCAAGGGUCGAAAGCUGUAAGGUUGUGAAUUCGAGCAAGAUCAAAAUUGUAACUCGUUAUGAGAUCGAGCAAGGUCAAACUUUCCUUUCGCUUGGCGAUGGCCGAUGGCCGUAAGAGUGUAAAAUCGAGUAAGGUCAAGAUUGUAACCCGUUGUGAGUCUGAGCGAGGUUGAAUGUUAACUUUUCUUGGCGAGGGUCGAUGGCUGUAAAGGUGUGAAUUCGAGCGAGGUCGAACUUUCCUUCCGCUUGGCAGUAUGCAAGUUCGGUGGAAUGGUGAGAUUCAUUUGUUCAUUGCCUUUAUUGGAGAAUGUUACUCAUUGUUGCAUAGUUUAUAUGUGCAUCGGGGUGAGUCCUGGUUUACUUAAUUUUGCUUUCAUUGGAGAGUAUUGUGUGUCGGGGUGAGUCUAGUUUAUCUGGUCUCUUUAUUAACAGGAUGGACGAUGAUUUUUAUGGCUUGUGCUUCUGGCACCCUUAGACCUGAUUGACUCGAACGAAGUUCGGGCGUGAUUCGUAGUAUUUAGUCGGCCAAACCAGUAUAGUGUUGCCAUGGCGAGCAUAUGUGCAAGCUUUUUGUGCUUGUGUUCUGCCUAUGUUGGAGAGACUGUAUGUUCUGUGGACUCAUCGCCCAGUUCCAGGUUGUGGAGGUUGUUUCUUAAUAGUGCUGGCUUGUUCUAAGUCGUUUGUCUGUUAUUUGUUGUAUGGUACGGUGUGGUGGGUUUUGCUCGACCAUUGCUUGCAAGACGAUGUGGUGUAGAACAUUUUCCUGGCGUGUUAUUUUGAUGGCGUUUGUUCUUUGUUCGUGCACUAGUGCUCAUGUUUCUGUCCCCCUCCAGAAAGAAGGAAAAAUAACAAGUUACAACCAAAAUAAAUCGUCUAUUACCUUGAACUAAUUGGUUGGCUAGGAGAGAAGGGUGUUGUAGAAAGACUCAUUUAGAGCCUAUUUGGACUGGCUUAAAAGCUGAUCAAACCAGCUUUUAAGCAAUUUUUAAAUGUUUGGAGUCUUUGGCAAAAAAAGAAAACAACUUAAAAAGGUUUUAAAAGGCUUUAAAAAAAGCUAAGAGCCACAAGUUAGGAUAUCCUAACUUCUCCAUCUUUGGCUUAAUAGCCAUCUUAUUUUGACCAACAAAAUUACUCACUUGUCCUUUAUAACUUUUACUAAUUCCAAAACUACCCUCAUCAAAUAAAUUCUAAAAAAUCCAACUACUCACUUUCUAUUCAUCUUCUUCACUCUUCUUCUUCAUCUUCGAUGGUAAGUUUGUUCUUCUCCUUCAUCUUCGACACUUUCUGUUCUUCUUUCCCAAACUUUCCUUGUUCUUCAUCGUAAAACAUCCAACUACACCCAAACAUGAUUUUAAGGUUUAUGUUUUAAAAAGGUAAAAUGCCUUAAACUACUCCUAAACUUGGCUCAGUUUAUUAGUAUCUUCCCCAAAUUAUGCCCAGUUUUAAUUAUCCCCCUCAACUUGGUCUUUUGAGCGUCAUUACCCCCUUAGAUGCUGAUGUGGCAAAAAAUGUGGGUGCACUCACCUGCCACGUGGAUUUUUCUGUCUAUGUGGCAUUUUUUGAACAAUAAAAUAUUUUUUACCUUUUUAAGAGUGUUACUUUUUUAGAUAAUUUUUUUCGAAUAAAACUUGGAUAUAACUACAUUUUGUAGGCUAAAUAUUUUUAUUUGGCCAAAAAUUAGUAAAGUUUUAGUUAAUCUUUUUUUGAAUCUAACCUGAAAACAAAGAUUUAUACAAAAUUGAAAUAAAUAGUCAAGACAUCUAAAAAAUUAUAUAAAAUAUAUAGUUGAAAUAAAUAGUUAUUGUAUCAAAAUAAGAAAUAAAAAAAGUAUACAAUUGCACUUGUAAUUUCUUGCAAAUUUACGCUCUUUUUAUUUUCUUCUUUUGUGAUGCAAUGACUAUUUAUUUCAACAUGUAUUUUUACCUUUUUACGUAAAUAUGUAAAAGAAUAUAAAUUAGAGCACCGUAAUUUAGAUUUAUAUAAAAGAUUAUAUCCAAAAUAAUUAAUUUUAAACUAUGUUUAAUAACUUUUUAGAUACCUUGACUAUUUAUUUCAAUUGUAUAAAUCUUUAUUAAUAUGUCAAAUUCAAAAAAGAUUAACUAAAAUUUUAUUAUUUUUGGCUAAAUAAAAAUAUUUAGCCUAAAUAAUAUCAUUCUAUCAAAGUUUUAUUAUAAAUUAUAUUCGCAAAAAUAAAUUAAAAAGUAAUAUUCUUAAAAAGUUAAAAAAAAUAAAAAAAAUGGCAUAUAGACAGAAAAAUCCACAUGGCAGGUGAAUGCACUCACACUUUUUGCCACAUCAUCAUCCAGGGGGUAAUGACUCUCAAAAGGCCAAGUUGAGGAGGGUAAUUAAGACCGCGCUAGCUUGGGAAGGAUACUAAUAAUCUGAGCCAAGUUUAAGGGUGAUUUAAGGUAUUUUGCCUUUUAAAAAAAUAAAAUAUGGUAACAAUCCUUUUGCAAAUUUUAUGUUUGGUCAUAAUCAGCAUAUAGAAAUCGAGGUUUGACAGAUUAUUACAUAAUGAGCAAGAGGAAGAUAUAAGUUCUUGAUUUGUUUUAUGCGAUAUUUUUAUCUUUUAACAGAAAAAAAUGCUUACAUGUACUUAUUUACCAAACACUUCAAUUUUUUUUUUAAGUUUCAGAACAUGUAGCUGUUUAUUUAUAAAAUAAGCUCCAGCACUUAAAAACCAUUUUUUAAGCCAAUCCAAGCAGGUUCUAAAACAUACUGUUAGUCCCGCACUCGCAUGAUUGCUUCAGAUUUGGUAGCCCCGUGCUUAGCUCCGUCGUUAAUCUACUUUGUGGGGAAUAGAGUUCAACCACAUAUGGAGGGAGACAAUGAGUAGCUAGAAAGGGCUUUCGAGGAGGAGAAUGUGCACGAGGCUGUGUCGAGUUGUGCUGGUGAUAAGGCUCCCAAGCCAGAUGGUUUUUUCUUGGCCUUCUUCCAACUCUGUUUGGACACCAUUAAGGGGGAGCUGAUAGAAUCCAUUGAAUACUUCCACGUGAAUGGUGUUUUCGAGAGAAGUAUCAAUGCUUCUUUUAUUACCAUUGUGCCUAAGAAAGAAGGUGUAUUUUGUAUCAGAGACUACAGGCCAAGAAGGUGCAUUUUAUAUCAGAGACUAUAGGCCUAUUAGUCUCAUGGGGAGUAUUUACAAGAUUAUUUCUAAAGUGCUAUCCAUUAGACUCAAGAAGGUUCUUGACGUGUCUGUUUCGUCCUCCUAGAAUGCGUUUGUGGAAUGUAGGCAGAUCCUGAACGUUGCUUUGGUGCCAAAUGAACUUGUAUACUCCUGAAGAAAAAAUAGAGAACCCGACUUACUAUGCAAGUUGGAUCUUGAGAAGGCUUUCGGCCAUAUCAAUUGGGAGUUCCUGGAUUUCAUUAUAACGUGGAUGGGAUUUGGGAUAAGAUGGAGGAGAUGGAUCAAAUUCUGCAUUUCUUCAAUCAGAUUCUCUGUCCUGGUUAUUGGUAGCCCGUGUGGUUUCUUUGGCAGCUCCAGGCAAGGUGACCUCCUAUCUCUCAUGCUAUUCACUUUAGUGAUGGAUGCUCUGAGUAAAUGUUGGAUUGUGCGUUGGGCGGAGGCUUCUUGCGAGGAUUCUUAGCUCCGAUCGGGACGCCCUAGUGAUCAAAGAGUCUAUCAUUUGCUUUUUGAGGAUGAUACCCUGGUUUUCUGUGAUGCCGGUAUGGAUCAGUUGAUGUACCUGAAGUAGGUCAUGAAGUGGUUUCGGAUAGUAUUAGGACUCAAAAUCAACCUCGGUAAGUGUGAGAUUUCCCCGGUGGGUGAGGUUGCUAACAUCGAUGCUUUGUUUUAUCUUCUCAUAUGUAAGGUGGGCUCUCUUCCUACUAUUUACCUGGGUUUCCCAUUAGGUGCUUUGCAUAAGGAUAAUAUAGUUUGGAAUAUUCAUUGGCACUGCUAUUGGGCAAGACAUGUCCCAGCCAUCUUGUGAUUCUUAGAGAUGUGGGUUGCGUGGCGAUGGUUUGUUCACCGUAAAGUCCUUUUUGACCAGAGUAUGUUAGUGAGAGAGGGGCCACUUUUCCAUACUUCUUGAUUUGGAUUCCUAAGGCGCACACUGAGGUGUGCUUUUUUGCAAGGGGAGUGAUCUUGACUGCUGAAAAUCUACGAAGAGAGAAAUUACACUUGUUAGUUGGUGCUACAUGUGUAAAAGCUUAGGGGAAGAAGUCGAUUAUCUUUUAUUGCAUUGCCCUGUGCUCUCGGGUUUGUGGAGGGCAAUCCUGGAUCUUUUUGGUGUUCAAUGGGUAAUGCCAAGCACUGUAAAGGAAAUGUUAUAUAGCUGGUCCGGUUUUCAUAGAAGAAAAAAGCAAAAGGCGUGGAAGUUCGCAUGUUAGCUCUCAUGUGGAUAGUUUUGGGGGUGAGAAAUAUGAGAACUUUUGAGGGGAUUAAGUAUCAUCUUUCACAUCUUUAUAAUAGUCUUUUAUCUUUGAUCGCUUUUUGGUGCACUCAUAUAGCCCCUACUUGUAUAGAAGAUNNNNNNNNNNNNNNNNNNNNNNNNNNNNNNNNNNNNNNNNNNNNNNNNNNNNNNNNNNNNNNNNNNNNNNNNNNNNNNNNNNNNNNNNNNNNNNNNNNNNNNNNNNNNNNNNNNNNNNNNNNNNNNNNNNNNNNNNNNNNNNNNNNNNNNNNNNNNNNNNNNNNNNNNNNNNNNNNNNNNNNNNNNNNNNNNNNNNNNNNNNNNNNNNNNNNNNNNNNNNNNNNNNNNNNNNNNNNNNNCCCCCCAAAUGAUAACUAAUGUUGCUUCCAACGAGCAACUUCUUUCCACACUUCUCAACAACUCCAUUCCAUACAGAUUUAUUUUUGAAUUUGCACCUAAAGGCAACCCUAGAUAGGUGGUAGGAAAAAUUUUCAACUUUGCAACCCAUAGUAUCAGCCGGCAUAUUUACGUUGCUGUCAGCAUUCAAAGAAAACAUUAAACCAAAGCCUAGUUGGUUUUCAGUCACGUUACUGCUUCAAAAGCCAGCAAAACCACUCUCAAAUGCAGCAUCUGUUCUCUUUCAGCCCCACACAUUAACAAUGUAUCUUGUAUCAUCAACAUAAAGCUAUAAGAGACUUGUAUAAAGAUUCCUGAAUGACCCUCCAUUUUAAAGUCUUUUAUCCAGUCGCUUCUCACAACAGUUUUGAUCAUCUGACUCACAACCUCCAUUACUAAAGAAAAAAAUAGGGAGAUAGUGGGUCCUCUAGUCCCAUGCCUCUUUGAGAAUUAAAAUGCCCUAUUGGACUACCAUUGAUAAGAAUUGAGAACCUAGCAGUGGAAAAACAGAAUUAUAUCCAUUGAAUUCCUCCAAAAUUCAUCUUCUCCAACAGCUAGCUGACAUGAUCAUAAGUCUCUUCCAAGUCUAGUUUAAACACCACUCCAGACAAUUUCCUUUUCCAAUAGUAGUCAUUGCAUUCAUUUGCUAAAAGUGUUGCAUCUGCUAUUUGCUUGUCUUUCAUAAAAGCAUUCUGAUUUUCAAAUACCAAUUUUUAUAUUACAAGCUUCAUUCUCUUCUAAUAUAUUUCUACAGCGCACUAGAGUGAGACUAGCCAGUUAAGAAUAGUCUUAAAAUGCUACUGAUCAGCUAUUGAUGCAGGACUUUAUCUGCUGGAUAUUAGUAUACCUUCCAUCCUUAUCCUUUUCUUUUUCUCUUAAUUUUUCUUUUUCUUUUUCUUUUUCUUUUUCGUAUUUUCUAUAUUUCUUAUAUUGCUGUUAUUUUGGUAUUUUAUGUUAUGUUAUGUAUUUUAUGUUAUUUUAUUAUGAGUCUAUUGAUAGUACUAAUAUAUCGUCUCUUAUUGCUUUCUUGAGCCGAGGGUCUCCUGACAACCGUCUCUCUGCCCCUCGGGUAGGGGUAAGGUCUGCGUACAUAUUAUCCUCCUAAACUUCACUUGUGGGAUUAUACUGAAUUGUUGUUGUAUUCUCUCUGUGAGAACAUUAGCUAUCAACUUGUUUAAGCUCCCAAGCAUACUAAGAUGUCUGAAUUCCUUGGUGUGGACAACCCCUUUCUUAUUUGGAAUUAAAGCAAUGAAGGUAGAAUUCUAGCUUUUAACAAAUUCUCCUUUCCUGUAAAACACCUCAAAUGUCUUCAGAACAUCUUCUUUCACAAUAUACCAACAUUUCUUAAAGAAACUCAUAUUAAAGCCAUCCAGAUCAGGUGGCUUAUCCCCUUCCAACAUAUUAAUAACUCUUGUUACCUCAGCUUCAUCAAGGUCUCUCCAACCAUUCUUUCUUCUGGUCACUAAUAAUAGCAAGCUCAGGGCAUAUCCAUGAAGGUCACCAAUUCUCCUUCUCUGGAAAAAGAUCUUUGUAGAACUCAAGGAUGUGAUUUUUAAUCAUACUUUAUCUUCAGUGAAUUCUCCAUCAACUUGUAGCUUGUCUAUCCAAUUAUAUCUCAUGUUUGAAUUUGCUAUUUUGUGAAAAAAUCUAGUGUUUUACCUGUUGAUCCAUAAAAAUCUGGAAUUUUGUCUCAAAUGUAUCUCUCCUGCCUUGGCUGUAUCACGUAUUCCUUUGUUAAUGCUAUUCUAUUAGAUUCUUCUUCCUCUAAGUUACUAUUUUGACUAUCACUUCGCCCCCUCCUUUCCAAUUGUUGCAAAAUCUGAUCUUUUCGUCUUCCCAGGUAACCAAAAAAUUCUUUGUUCCACUUCUUUAAAUCUUCUUUUUAACUUUCUGAGCUUUCUUGCUAGAACCACAUCUGGUUUGCCUUGCAACUCAUAAGAAUUCCACCAAUUCUCCACUGUGGACAGGACAUUAGCAUGUCCAGACCACAUGUUUUCAAACUUAAAUUACCCCUUCCUUCUUUCCCAUCUGACUCUGCUCUAGGUAGCACCGUUUGGUUGAUGGUUUUGAAGGAAUCAUCCCACUGUCAUGAAACCAAAAAUCUAUCUAUUCUCGAAGCUGAUUCUUCAUUAUUCCCUCUGAACCUUGUGAACUGUCCACCAUGUAAAGGAAGAUCAAUAAGUUCCAUAUCAUCAAUGAAACUUGAUCCACUUACGAUACCUAUAGGAAAUAAUUGUUCUUUCAACCUCCACAACCAAUUUUCCCACCUAUUCAACUUGUCUGGUGUAUCCCUUAAUUGCAAAACAAAUUAUGCUAGAGUACUUGGUGUAGCGUUUUUCCAAGAUACGAUGGUGAAGACCCCUAGUUUCUAAUAUUUGUGGGUAGCAUUUGCAUUGUAAGAACUAGAUCAUGUUUAGGACACAAUCUUAUCAUUUCCAACAAGACUGCUGAAGGACAGUCAUGUUUUUCAAUAUAUUCUAUGAUUCUUGUCUAAAAGAUAUUAUUAAAAAGAAACACUUAGAACCCCGAAUUCAUCCAACACUUUUAGCUUUUAGCUUUUUAGAGAUCUAGGCAUAUUAAAUCAAUAAAGAGGUAGCUUACGAAAAAGUAUAUAUCAUAGAGAUGAAAGUCACAAUUUAGUUUUCUUUUGGUGUUAAGGGCACUAUGAUGAUUUGACUCUAAGCACAAUAAUUUGUCAGUUGUCACUAACUUAGCUGUCAGUAUUGGUUUCUACUUCACCUUGUUCAGUUGAAGCAGAAUUCCUUUUCACGAAAGUAUGUCAUAACUUAUGUUGCAGUUAUGUUCAGUGUCUGAUUCUUGUUUAACUUGUUAUUCUUCUGAGCCAUAUUUGCUUCUCUUUUAUGACCUUAUGACCUAAUUUUUGCUGCAGUUAUCUUCCAUCGUGGAUUCAUGUAACUGCAUCAUCGACCCUCAAUUGCCUGCUGAUGACUUGCUAAUGAAGUAUCAGUACAUAUCUGAUUUUUUCCAUAGCACUUGCUUAUUUCUCCAUUCCAGUGGAGUUGAUAUACUUCGUUAAGAAGUCGGCUGUUUUUCCAUAUAGAUGGGUUCUUGUGCAGUUUGGUGCUUUCAUAGUUCUUUGUGGAGCAACACAUCUUAUCAACUUAUGGACAUUUAAUAUGCAUACAAGGAAUGUGGCAAUAGUAAUGACUACUGCAAAGGUCUUGACUGCGCUGGUAUCAUGUAUAACUGCGCUCAUGCUUGUCCACAUUAUUCCUGAUUUAUUAAGUGUCAAAACUAGGGAACUAUUCUUGAAAAAGAAAGCUGCACAGCUUGAUCGUGAAAUGGUAUUCCUGAUUUAUUAAGUGUCAAAACUAGCGAACUAUUCUUGAAAAAGAAAGCUGCACGGCUUGAUCGUGAAAUGGGUAUUAUUCACACUCAAGAGGAGACUGGUAGACAUGUUAGAAUGCUAACUCAUGAAAUCCGAAACACUCUUGAUAGACAUACUAUUCUAAAGACUACAUUGGUUGAGCUAGGAAGAACAUUGGCCUUGGAAGAGUGUGCAUUAUGGAUGCCAACACGUACUGGAGUAGAGCUUCAACUUUCUUACACUCUACGUCAUCAAAAUCCAGUUGGACUGACUGUACCUAUACAACUUCCUGUGAUCAACCAAGUUUUCAGUACAAAUCGUGCCGUACAAAUAUCACCAAAUUCUCCUGUUGCAAAACUUCGACCUACUGGGAAAUACAUGCCUGGUGAGGUGGUUGCUGUCAGGGUUCCGCUUCUGCAUCUCCUCAAACUUUCAGAUUAAUGAUUGGCCUGAACUUUCAACAAAGCGCUAUGCUUUAAUGGUUUUGAUGCUUCCUUCAGACAGUGCAAGACAAUGGCAUGUCCAUGAGCUGGAGCUUGUUGAAGUGGUAGCUGAUCAGGUUUGAUUUUUCUAUUGGAAUUGCAUAGCUGAGUUGUUAGUUGUAUUAUUGGUAUUAUAUAUUGGAAUUGCAGAGCUGAAUUUUAAUUAGUAAAUUGUUAUUAUAAAUAUUUUCAAAGAUGAAUCAGCAGGUGAAUUAUGACUUUAUAUAUCUUUCAUUUGUUGAUUGCUUUUUGGUGAGUGAAUAGUUAAGCUGGUUGUGGAUGUGUUUAUUGAGUGUAUCUUGGUAGAUUUUCUGCUAGGACCUUAACUCCCAUUGGAUUUUGCUUUCAUAGCUGACACGCUGUAUUAGAAGCAUAGGAAGUAGGAUCUAUGGUAUAUAAAGAUAUUAUGAACUGCGAGUCUGAACUAAUUGAGUAGUCCUUUCUUGGUACAUAAAAUUCAUUAUAUGUAGUUUUUAAAGUACUAUAAUAUGAAGUGAAUCAUUUCUGGGGUAAUGUAUUUAAGUGUAUAAAAGUAAAUACUACUGAGUUGCUACAAAAAUGAUUUUUCAACAGAGCUGUUCAAAAAAUUUACAUCUGGCAUCUUACUUCUUCAUCAGAAAUUUAGAAACUUAACUUUUUCAUUCUGUCCCUCGUAAUGCACUGUUCUCGAAUGUAAUUCAGCUCACUAGCAAGUGGCAAGCCUAGUCUUAGCUUGACUCAUUAAAUAACCAUGAUAUUUUUACAUUUACAGGUGACAUGUCCAAGUUUUAUUGUUUUUGCUGUUUGCCUCGUAUGAUAUUCAGGAAUUUUUACCUUUUCUGCAUACUUAAGAUUUAUUAUCUUUGUCUCUGGUUCCUGGAUUUCCAACAGAUAUUGAUGGAAAACACAACUCAAUCAACUUGGCCUCAAUCUCAAAUUAGUUAGGGUCUGCGAUAUGAAACCUCUAUAUCUGUUCCGCUCCGACAGAGGUCCAGAAAUCAGAUUUCAAGGAAAUUCGUCAUAGUUGGACUAUUUUUAGGGUUGCUGUUAAGUGUUAACCAGCUGUAAUCCUCAUUUGUCUGGACUUGCCACCAACUAUUAUGCAUUCAUGGUGGAAAAAAUGACAAUUAGUUAAAAAAAAAAGGGACAACAGAGGAAAAGACAUUCACGUCGAAUCCCCUCGUUAAGAAGUCGGCUGUUUUUNNNNNNNNNNNNNNNNNNNNNNNNNNNNNNNNNNNNNNNNNNNNNNNNNNNNNNNNNNNNNNNNNNNNNNNNNNNNNNNNNNNNNNNNNNNNNNNNNNNNNNNNNCCUCCUCUCUGCCGAUUUUUGUAUUCUGCUUCUAGACAUAGGAAGAUACUCUGUUCUAGCUGUUAGUGUCUGGUUGCAACUAGUUUUUGGGCGUGUGUGCGCCUAUUUAAUUAACUAAGAGCUUAUCUUGAGUGCCAGUGUGAUUUAAUCUAUGCCUUGUCAUUCAGGUUGUUGUUUCUCUCUCACAUGCUGCAAUUUUAGAGGAAUCGAUGAGGGCUAGGGAUCUUCUUAUGGAGCAGAAUGUGGCUCUUGAUCUGGCAAGAAGAGAAGGAGAAAUGGCUGUUCGUGCACGUAAUGAUUUCUUGGCUGUUAUGAAUCAUGAAAUGAGAACUCCCAUGCAUGCGAUAAUUGCACUUUCUUCGUUGCUGCAAGAAACUGAUCUAACUCCGGAGCAACGUCUGAUGGUUGAAACAAUCCUCAAGAGCAGCAAUCUUUUAGCGACACUGAUCAAUGAUGUCUUGGAUCUUUCAAGGCUAGAGGAUGGAAGUCUUCAACUUGAUAUUGUCACAUUUAAUCUUCAUGCUCUAUUCGGAGAGGUGACCCCCCCCCCCNNNNNNNNNNNNNNNNNNNNNNNNNNNNNNNNNNNNNNNNNNNNNNNNNNNNNNNNNNNNNNNNNNNNNNNNNNNNNNNNNNNNNNNNNNNNNNNNNNNNNNNNNNNNNNNNNNNNNNNNNNNNNNNNNNNNNNNNNNNNNNNNNNNNNNNNNNNNNNNNNNNNNNNNNNNNNNNNNNNNNNNNUGGAUACAGCCUCUCUACCCUAGGGUAGGGGUAAGGCUGCGUACACACUACCCUCCCCAGACACCACUAAAUGGUAUUAUACUGGGUUGUACCUUUUUCCCAAGUUCUAGGUUAUCUGUGAAAAAUAAAAAACAGAGAGUUGUAGAUCUGUUUAAUACAUUACUGAUAUUUUGCAGUUCACUAUGUUUUGCUGGACGGGACUAACUGAUUUAUGUGUCUGCUUGUUGCUGUAGGUUCUUAACUUAAUCAAGCCUAUUGCAUCUGUGAAAAAGCUAUUCGUCACGCUUAGUUUGUCUGCAGAUUUGCCAGAAUAUGUCAUUGGGGACUAAGGCUGUAAAAUUGGCGGUCCCGAACCGGAAUCGGACCGGAACCGCGGCCCUGCCGGUUCCGGCGGUUUCGGUUCUAGCGGUUCCCGGGAACCGUGGCGGGGCGGUUCUACCCGUUGGAACAGCCAGAACCGGAACCGCCAGAACCGGAACCGGACUGGUUCUGGCGGUUCCAAACGGUUCCGCCGGUUCUCUAACGGGCAUUUUUCAAAAAAAAAAAAUUUUUUUUUUUAAAUAUUGGCUCUUUGCAAAAAGUAGCCGUUUGAAAGUUUAAAAAAUAGCCAUUUGGCCCACAAACUUUAAUUUAACCCAAAACUUUAUAUAAUUACACUAUUUCCCAUUUCUCAACUAUAAAUACCCCCUAAUUCUUUCAAUUUUAUUCACCAAUUCAUCAAUAUCUCUCAAUCUCUCUCAAGCUCUCUAUCAAUCUUUCUAGUGCAAGUGCUUAAUUUAUUGUUGCAAUUUCGUGAAACAGUGUGAAGUUGUUGAAUUGAAGUUUUCAAGUGUUCGAUUUCAACGAUUUUCAAUUUUCAAGAAGUUGUUCGUCAAUCCGGUAAACUCGUUUCAACUCUNNNNNNNNNNNNNNNNNNNNNNNNNNNNNNNNNNNNNCUCAACCUCCUAAACGUACAGAAACAUCAUUAGUUUGACAAUUUUUUAUUCAACUAAGAGAAAAAAAUAAGGCUAGGUGUAAAUCUUGUGGGAAAUUACUUGUUCAUAGGUAUACUGGAGAUCGUAUCGGCACGGGUAGUUUGACUAAGCAUAUAAAAUUACACCCUAGAGAUAAAGCUAGAUUUUUGCAAAUGAAAGCGCAACAAGAGGGAGGGGACAAGUGUAGAUUCUCAAGUUAACCCAAGUACUUGUUCAAAUCUAGUUCAACCAGGAAUAAACAUUGUCACCGGAGGUAUUUUAUAUUACGAUCCAAAUAAGGAUCGUGAAGAAUNNNNNNNNNNNNNNNNNNNNNNNNNNNNNNNNNNNNNNNNNNNNNNNNNNNNNNNNNNNNNNNNNNNNNNNNNNNNNNNNNNNNNNNNNNNNNNNNNNUCUUUUGCUUCUAAUCCUGCAUGGAUUCAUUAUGUUCCUUCUUCGCUAAUUCACACUUGGCAAGACCCAAGUUUUUUUUUGGUCUAAAAGGCUUUUUGCCUAGUAAGCUAUCAGCCGGGUGAUACCAAGAGUCCCACAUCGGUUGUUUAAGGGAUAGUUGGUCUCUUUAUAUGGCUUGGAUAAUUCUCACCUCAUGAGCUAGCUUUUGGAGUUGACUAAGGUCUGAAGUUCAUUUCUUUAUCGUGGUAUCAAAGCAAGACCCAUUCUAUUCUUGUUUUCACAUCGCUUGUACUAUCCACUCUCCAGAUGUAUGGUCCUGGCAAUUCAAGGGGGUGUUGAAGAGAGUCCCUCAUUGGUUGCUGGACGAGUGGUCUCUCUGCUUAUAAAAGUUAAUGCUCAAACUGUUUAUAAUGCUUAUAAACAGGCGUUAGAACAUGCUAGGCCUAAUNNNNNNNNNNNNNNNNNNNNNNNNNNNNNNNNNNNNNNNNNNNNNNNNNNNNNNNNNNNNNNNNNNNNNNNNNNNNNNNNNNNNNNNNNNNNNNNNNNNNNNNNNNNNNNNNNNNNNNNNNNNNNNNNNNNNNNNNNNNNNNNNNNNNNNNNNNNNNNNNNNNNNNNNNNNNNNNNNNNNNNNNNNNNNNNNNNNNNNNNNNNAACCCCUACUUCGUCUACAUCACAGUCGUCUAAAAGAGCUGCUGGCUUAACAGCUCUUAAAUUGUGGACGGAGUUUAGGGGUACUCAAGGGGAUAAUUUAGAUGAAAUUUCUCAUCUAAAUGAGCUUCAAGUUUAUUUGUCGCAGGGAGUAGAGCAUGAGAAUCCAGACGGCUCUUUCGACCUUUUGGAUUGGUGGAAGACAAGGGAAAAGC
rnacentral:lncRNA from 1 species